GGAAAGUAAAGAAAAAAAGCCAGAUGAUUUCAACAGAGAACACAUCAGUUGACACUAUAGCUUGAAAAAGGUGCUUGUAACAAAUUGAAAUAGGUAAAGAGAGAUUAUUUACUUACUCUCACUACAGUCAUCAACAUUAUACAUCCUUUUCCACGAAUGAGUGUUCCUGUAUAAAGAACCAUCACGGUGUGUGCUUUUUGGAAGAAAUCCCAGGUCAAGAAUAUCAUCUUCUUCGGCAUCGCUUGCUACCAAUGCGCUCCUUCUAUUGGUUGCACUCCUCCCGUUUUCAUCACAACCAGAGAUGUCCACAAUAUUCGAAGAUGCAUCAUGUUUGCCGGCUAUAGUAUUCAUAUCUUGCAAGGUUGUCCCACUAGUCAUGCUCCGAGAUCCAGGUGGAAAUCUAUCACCAAAGAGAAUAAAGAGCAAAUCUGAGCACCCGACAGAAAAUUCAAUUCUUUUUCGGUUCCCCUUUCAUUUUCGUCGGAUUAACUAUAAGACCCCACACCCCCUGCCUUAUUUACAAAAAUCAACACAUAAGGAUAAUUAAAAGGGAUUUUUCUCGAAUACGCUCGGAUAAUUAAAAGGGGUAAAAAACCACAGUUGGUCAGAAUCCAGAUCCAAAACUAUAAUAAUAAGAAACUAAAGGCGAAAAUUUUGGCAUCAGAUGAUGAGAGCAUACCGGGAAACACGACGGACAGGUAGAUCUGGAACCAUCAUGAGAGGGAAACUUCGCCGUGCAAGCGGUUGUGGCGACCAGUAAGGCGGGGCAGAGGCCAUGAAAGAGAGGAGAGGUCGCGAGGUAGAGGAGAGGCGGCGCAGUGGGUCAUGAGAGAUGGCGACGCCAGGUCGCCGGAGGAGACGAAAAAUCUGACGGAGGAUUGGCAUCUGAGCGCGCGGCGGCGGCAGAGGUGGGGUGUGCCGGUGUGGAGAAUGGGGAGAGGAAAGGGCUGAACGCACGGGGCGGUCUUCUUUACUCUCUUAUAUCAGAAUAGCACACAUAUGCCCGUGCGUUUGCAACGGGAGAGAUAUUUUAUUUACGACAAGCAACAAAAAGAUAAUUAAUUGUGUUAAAAAAUGGUCUUCACAAUGGUAGGCGAGAGAGCAAGGAGUUGCGGCCUUCUCACUGGACAUGUUUGGCUCGUGAAAUCUUAAUAGUGGUGGAGUUGGUAGGCGUGGUGGCGAGCACCCAACUCGUCCCUUUUUCUUUUGCAUGCCUCCUCAUUUGGUGGAUGUGUGACGACCAUCGGAACACGGUUGCUUCGACCACUCUCCUACUACAGUGUAACCAGAUGGAUUACUAAUUGCAGUGCAUAAAUCCUCUUACACAAGUAUAAUCAAGCAUGAAUGUCCCUUUAUUACGAAGGUUUAUUCCCUUUGAUUUUUUUAGCACUUAUGUUAAAAAAUUGAAAGCCCGGACAGUUAAAAAAAUGUGAACAUUUAUUUUUAGAAAAUUCCAUAUAAUUAAGAAAACAAAAAAAUUAGAAAGAGGAAUAGUUAUUUAAGUUCGAAAAAACAUGUUGAAACCAUGAACAUUUUAUAAAAACACAAAAUUAAUAAUUUUUUUAAAAGGGGGACAUUCAGAAAAAAAUUAAAAAUGUUUUCUUAGACGCAAACAUUAUUUUGUUUUUGUGAACUUUUCAAUAAAAUAGGAAUAUUUUUUGGAAUAUGGAACAUUUUAUAAAAUAUUAACUUUAUAAAAAAAUCUAUAAAAAUUCUAAAACAGAAUCUUUUUUAAAUGGCAACAUUUUUUAAAUGUUGAGAAAAUUCCGAAACCAGUUUUUUUAAGUUUAUAAUAUUUUUCAAAACAAUAAUAAAAUUUUAUAAUGCUGAUUUUUGAAUAUUUGAAUAAAAAAUUAAAUUGUGAAUAUAUUUUGUAUAUUUUUAUUUCACGGCAAAAUAAAAAAAGUGAAAAGGAAAAUGAAACAUUUAAAUGGCCCGGCCCAGUCUUGGGCGACCUGUGCGUUCCUUGAACUAUUUGUCGGUAUGUGCGACAAAUAAGGUCUUUUUAACGUCUGGGCAGGAUAAUUACUGGGUUGGCUUUGUUGGGCUGGAGUGCGCCCGGCCCAAUUGCGGAAUUCUGGAGAAACUUUUUGUCUUUUCUAGUAGAUGCACAAAAAUUUAGUACCACCUUGGAUAGAAAAAAUAUUUUCAACGAUGAAUGGAUGAAAAUAUUGGAGAAACGCACUUUGCUUUAUUAGUAGGUAUAGAUUUUCACUUUUGCAGAAAAUCCCAGAUAAUUAUUGAUAAUCAACCCACAUGACAGUUUUAAGUCAGAUUUUUGUUUUGUUAGGAAACUAGCGGUGUGACCCGCGCAUUUGCGCGGCUAGAUUAGUUACACAUUGUUAUGAUUAUUUCUUUAUUUGUAUUUUAUUUAUUUUUAUAAUUGCAAAAUGUUUAUUUUUAUUUAUUUAUAAUAGAAUUUCUAAAUGUUAUAAAAUUAUAUAGCCAUAUUACCACAUGACUAUGAAUUAUUUGUCCCACAUAUAUUAGCACAUGACUAUACAAUUUUUGUUUUACAUGAUCUACUGUCUUAUCUUAUUCAGGUGCACAACUGAACAAUCUAUUAAGUCAUCAAUAGUGAUGUUUCUGUUUAAGAAUGGAAGUUAAAGAUCCCGUGGGUUGCCAUGCAAAAACAACACUUUCAUACUAAUAUGUAAGUUCCAGUUUACACUCUAGUGAUCCCGCAAAAAAAAAAUUUACACUCUAGCUCCCAUCGUUAGCUAGGAUUAAGUAGAGUUCUUUUCUUUAAUCUAUCUCAUCAUUAGACAUAAUUNNNNNNNNNNNNNNNNNNNNNNNNNNNNNNNNNNNNNNNNNNNNNNNNNNNNNNNNNNNNNNNNNNNNNNNNNNNNNNNNNNNNNNNNNNNNNNNNNNNNNNNNNNNNNNNNNNNNNNNNNNNNNNNNNNNNNNNNNNNNNNNNNNNNNNNNNNNNNNNNNNNNNNNNNNNNNNNNNNNNNNNNNNNNNNNNNNNNNNNNNNNNNNNNNNNNNNNNNNNNNNNNNNNNNNNNNNNNNNNNNNNNNNNNNNNNNNNNNNNNNNNNNNNNNNNNNNNNNNNNNNNNNNNNNNNNNNNNNNNNNNNNNNNNNNNNNNNNNNNNNNNNNGGGGCAUUAUUUAUUUUAAUUGUUUGUCACUUCUGCAUAUGAGGUAAUACCAUCCCUCCAUUGUACAUUUUUGCACAAAAAAAUAUAUAAAAUGGCACAAUAUGUGUCUUCCCUACUAUUUUUGCUAUUAAAAACAUAUUGUCAUACUUUCCUUUGUGCUCACUCUUGGAGUGCCUUGUUCUUUCUGGUCAUUUUCAUGUCUGUUUUAGGUCGAUUUAUGCCGUUAGAAUAUUAGCAUGAUUUCAAUUUGCGAGGACACUGUUUUUUGUGUCAUGCAAUUAAUACACUUAUUGACCGCACACAUAGUAUAUUGUCAUUGUUUUUAAUCACCCAAUUUCAUCUAUCUCAUAUACUAAGUGAUUCUUGUCCAUUUAAUACUUGAGGUAUAAGAUGUCGCCUCUCCACCACCUGAAUUGUGUGAAGCCUCGGAGUAACCAAUGGUUCACACACGCAUAGUGUUUGUCCAUACAAUGUGUACUCAACAACUAUUUUAACCUCACCUCUAUGCAUUUAUCCAUUUUUAAGAAACCCAUGCAUGUUGAUAGAUAUCACCCGAGAGAUGUUCCCCUAUUGUUGGUCCAAUAACUAUAUAUAUUGCAUGCUGCCAAAUCCAGAUUAGACUGUCAAAUUUAUUUCAGUUUCACCCAAGACACUAAAACUUGGGAUCGCUAUUUCUCUAACAAACCCGUACUGCUCCUUUAUUAACUGUUGUUCUGAUCCGACUCAAAUUUUCUAACUAACUUGUACUACUCUUUAUUUACUAUUGUUCAGAUCCGACUCAUAUUUUCUUUUCUUCGUGCUUUAACAGCCAUACAUAUUAUCUAAAGCGUUAAAAUUAUUAAAUCAACGAUAAAGUAACGAUGCAAUCUAUUUGUUCAUUGUUUUAAUUACGAAAUAAAUUAGAUAUAUAUUCUGGGCCUUUUUUGCGGGAAUAUAUAUCAAAAGUUAGCUUCAUUUAUGUGGGUCGCAUGUAUAUUAAGUUGCUUUUUUCCUUAUCCCAAAUUUCAUAACGUAUAAUAUAGUAUUAAAAAUUUAAAUGACGCAAGAGGUUCAUAUAUAAAUUUGAUUGUAUUGUUUGUCCACCUAAUAGUAUAUGUAUCUAGUAUGUUUAUUUUGAACAAUCUGACUCAAAACCUCGAUCAUCUGUGAUGAACCACAUUCUUGUAGAUUCCAACUUAAAAUGAUAAAUUCAGUGGCUUUGUUUGUACAGGUUGAAUGCUUGUUUGCUUGGCCCGAAUAUUAUCUCAGCGGCGUUGAUCACCAAUUCCUUUUUUGGGAAUUGUAUGUAUAUUUUUAGAUGAAUUGCAUGCAUGUUCUUUCUGAAAGACUUGCACCUAUAUUUUCUUGGAAAGACCCACCUGUACAUUUUUUAUAUGUUCAUGACUAUUUUUUUUAAUAUCUACGCAUGGCUCAAGUUGUCUGAUGUUGGAUGCAUGUUUUUGUAAAGACUUGCAUGUAGUUUUUUCACAUUGGUACAGGACCUAGAUGGGCAAGUGCGCUUGUUGUAGAUUGCUUGGACUCACCCAAGCGGCAUGUACGUAGAUGUCAUAUGCUUGUGCGUGUCAUGGCCGACGUAGGCCCCUCUUCUUUUCUCUUUGUUUCAGGAAACUAACCUAAUCGUUUGUGUCCGACGAUAAACUUUGUAUACGUGAUAGGUUGUACAUGCAAGGUACCGGAAUUGCUUUUUUAUUUUUGACCGACCCGUACAGCUUCUUCAUUAAAUAUUGCUUUGAUCAGACUGAUAUUUCCUUUUCCUUGUUCUUUACGCCCGAACAUAUUAUCUCCAGCGUGACACAACGUACAUAACAAUAUUGUACAUUCCAUGAUAGUUGGGUUAAUCAACCUGCAGUACAUAUAAAAUGUUUUCUUAAAAGUAUCCGCAUCUUUUAAACCGUGACUUCAAAUUUAAUAUGUUAUAUAAAAUUUGAUUAGAAAAACUAAUCAUCAACCUGUGCACCAGCACGGGCUAGAACGUUUGUAGUCACUGCACUUGCUACUUUUGUACAAAAUAGUGUCUAAAUUUAUUUUUCACAUAUUAGUUACAUAUAGGGACACAUAUUUUUUUGAUGAUGUUUUACUUGUCAGAAAAUAUGAUAAAUCCUCAAAGUCUUGCAAAUCCAAAAUGCAAUCAUAGUCUUAUAAUAUUUUGAACGAACAUGCAAUUUUAUCUACUAAGAUCCCAAUAUACAAUUCAUAUAAAUAGACGCAUGUAUAUGCAAAGCUUAAAACCAAAUUGAAUAAUUGAUAUUUCUCUUCAAAAAAAUACAAUAAUGCAACCGCAAGUUCGGGGACCCAUAAAAGCAAAAUACUGCUUCACCAUAUUUUAGAACAAUAUAAUGAAUAUGUAAAAAAACUGAAUGGAGUUGAAUAUCCCAUGUUGAUUCCUAUACAUAACAAAAAGUAAGUAUUAAAACAUUAUUGUCCAAACAAAAUGUUAAUUGACAAUGCUUUGGCUUUCAAGGUUAAUCAUCUAGUGCAUUGCACAUUUCAGAAUGAACAUCCUCUACAAAGCAACAUAGCUUGGCAAAUAUGCAUGCAAAUAUCAAGGAUUUCUGCAACGCGGAAUUAUGAAAAAAAAUUGUAUGCCAGAAUAUGAAACUUAACACCGAAAAAUCCCCCAACCAAGAGACAGUCUAACACUAGUAGAAAACAGGGUUUUGAUCCAGGCCUGAAGAGGGCAUUAAUCCCGGUUCUCAUACGAACCGGGACCAAUGGGAGCAUUAGUCCCAGUUCAUGAGGCCAGGGGGCCGGCCGGGCCUCGGGGGCCAAUGGUCCCGGUUCGUCUGACCCCUUUGGUCCUGGUUCCAGACACAAACCGGGACCAAUGGGCCUUGCUCCUGGCCCAUAACCUUUAGUCCCGGUUUGUGUCUGGAACCGGGACCAAAUAGAGGCCUAUAUAUACCUUGCCCGCGAGCAGAGCAGUGCACUCUUUGUUUUUUUGGCUAGCCGUGGGAGAGCUUUGUGGUGCUCUAGCUCACCUCCUAUGCACAUGAGGUGUUCGAUGAAAUACCCGAGCCACACUUUAUAAGCUUUCUCCUCUCGAAAUUCCUUGUCCCAACUCCAUUUUCCUCAAGAUUUGUCUAGGUUUGUGAUACGUCUCCAACGUAGCUAUAAUUUUUGAUUGUUCCAUGCUACUAUAUUAUCCAUCUAGGAUGUUUUGUAUGCAUUUAUGUGCUAUUUUAUAUGAUUUUUGGGACUAACCUAUUAACCUAGAGCCCAGUGUCAGUUUCUGUUUUUUUCCUUGUUUUUGAGUAUCGCAGAAAAGGAAUACCAAAUGGAGUCCAAUUGACGUGCCAAUUUUUGAUGAUUUUUUAUGGACCAAAAGAAGCCCCCGGAGUAAAAGAGUUGGGCCAGAAGAGUGCCGAGCUGUCCACGAGGGUGGGGGCGCGCCCUACCCCCCUUGGGCAUGGGCCCUAUCUCGUAGACGACUCGGAGACCCCCCUGACGUGAGACCGACGCCAAAAAUUCCUAUAAAUAUAGAAACCUCCAGAACAUAACCUAGAUCGGGAGUUUCACCGCCACAAGCCUCUGUAGCCACCAAAAACCAAUCGGGACCCUAUUCCGGCACCCUGCCGGAGGGGGGAUCCCUCACCGGUGGACGUCUUCAUCACCCCGGUGCUCUCCAUGAUGAGGAGGGAAUAGUUCACCCUGGGGCUGAGGGUAUGUACCAGUAGCUAUGUGUUUGAUCUCUCUCUCUCUCUCUCUCUCUCUCUCUCUCUCGUGUUCUUGAUUUGACACGAUCUUGAUGUAUCGCGAGCUUUGCUAUUAUAGUUGGAUCUUAUGAUGUUUCUCCCCCUCUACUCUCUUGUAAUGGAUUGAGUUUUCCCUUUGAAGUUAUCUUAUCGGAUUGAGUCUUUAAGAAUUUGAGAACAAUUGAUGUAUGUCUUGCGUGGGAUACCCGUGGUCACAAUGGGGUGUUCUAUUGAUCUACUUGAUGUAUGUUUUGGUGAUCAACUUGCAGGUUCAGUGACAUUGGGAAUCUAUGCAUAGGGAUUGGCACACGUUUUCGUCUUGACUCUCCGGUAGAAACUUUGGGGCACUCUUUGAAGUACUUUGUGUUGGUUUGAAUAGAUGAAUCUGAGAUUGUGUGAUGCAUUCGUAUAAUCAUACCCAAGGAUACUUGAGGUGACAUUGGAGUAUCUAGGUGACAUUAGGGUUUUGGUUGAUUUGUGUCUUAAGGUGUUAUUCUAGUAUGAACUCUAGGAUAGAUCGAACGGAAAGAAUAGCUUCGUGUUAUUUUACUACGGACUCUUGAAUAGAUCGAUCAGAAAGGAUAAUUUUGAGGUGGUUUCAUACCCUACAAUAAUCUCUUUGUUUGUUCUCCACUAUUAGUGACUUUGGAGUGACUCUUUGUUGCAUGUUGAGGGAUAGUUAUAUGAUCCAAUUAUGUUAUUCUUGUUGAGAGAACUUGCACUAGUGAAUGUAUGAACCCUAGGCCUUGUUUCAACGCAUUGCAAUACCGUUUUCACUCACUUUUAUCAUUAGUUACCUUGCUGUUUUUAUAUUUUCAGAUUACAAAAACCUAUAUCUACCAUCCAUAUUGCACUUGUAUCACCAUCUCUUCGCCGAACUAGUGCACCUAUACAAUUUACCAUUGUAUUGGGUGUGUUGGGGACACAAAAGACUCUUUGUUAUUUGGUUGUAGGGUUGUUUGAGAGAGACCAUAUCCAUCCUACGCCUCCCACGGAUUGAUAAACCUUAGGUCAUGCACUUGAGGGAAAUUUGCUACUGUCCUACAAACCUCUGCACUUGGAGGCCCAACAACAUCUACAAGAAGAAGGUUAUGUAGUAGACAUCAGUUUGGCGGUCCUUCCUGUCCCGUCCCCGUCCUCACUACCGUCCAUCGCCCGCGCCGAUCUCGUUGCCGGCGCCACUGUGGUGAGCCUCUUGUUCUUAUCUUCUUUCUAAAAGAAAAAAUUCUUACUUAUAUGAUUUAGAUUGCUACUUGUAUAAUUUUCUUACUUUUAUUAGUGUUUGAAUGUUUGUUAUUAUAUAGUGCGAUGGUUUUGGUAUUCGCCCCCGUCGACCCUCAUCCUGUCUAUGAUUCGGAUGUGGUAUAUACUAUCUUUUAUAACUAUUUCUUUCAUUUAGUGUUUAUGAUAAUUAUGCCGACCAAUGUGACAUAGAUGUUUUAUGUAGGAGGUAUGUGGACCGAAAAUUCCAACUGACCCUCUUGUCGAGAGGUUAAAAUUUAGUUGAAAAAGAAAAUGAUUACUUGAAGAAAAAAAAUGAAAAGAAUUGAGGAGGAGAAGAUGGCAUUGGAGUUGCAUGUUGUGGAUAUCAUCGAUGAUCACAAGAUCAAGAUGUAUAAAAUGUGCUUGAAGAUUAGAAAAUUUUAAAAAUAUGCCAUUCAUACUGAGGCUUGGUAUCAUUAUGCAGUUGGAUCAAUUGUUACCUUAGUUGCGAUUAUGAUCGCAUAUGUUGUUGCAUUGAAAUGUUUUACAUAGUUUCAAUGUAUGGUUUAAUUAGAUGCUCACGAGAGCUAUAUGUUGUUCAAUGAGAACUAUGUAUUAACUUUAUGUAUCUAUUUUUUCAGUAAUAACAUUUGAUCACUACUGUACUUUGGUUUUAAUGUGAUGAUGAAAUCCCUUUGUAACAGAUGAGUUUUCGCCCGAAGCCCUGAUACUUCGAAAGAGAUUGUCCGUUUUGCACACGAAGUGCAUCCAGUUUUUGCCGUAACCCUCUCAGCUUUUUAGAACAUGCUAUGUGGGUGAAAUGAUGAUACCAUGCCAACUUUCAACCUUUUCAGAGUUCAUUUUAAGUGCUUUUCAAUUUCAGGGUCAUUGUGACGCACUCGAUUCAAUCGUACACUAAUCAUACACGCAAAUGUGUACGAUCAACAUCAAGGACUCACGGGAAGAUAUCACUGUUGGAAAUAUGCCCUAGAGGCAAUAAUAAAUUGGUUAUUAUUAUAUUUCCUUGUUUAUGAUAAUCGUUUAUUAUCCAUGCUAGAAUUGUAUUGAUAGGAAACUCAGAUACAUGUGUGGAUACAUAGACAACACCAUGUCCCUAGUAAGCCUCUAGUUGACUAGCUCGUUGAUCAAUAAGAUGGUUACGGUUUCCUGACCAUGGACAUUGGAUGUCGUUGAUAACGGGAUCACAUCAUUAGGAGAAUGAUGUGAUGGACAAGACCCAAUCCUAAGCCUAGCACAAGAUCGUGUAGUUCGUUUGCUAAAGCUUUUCUAAUGUCAAGUAUCAUUUCCUUAGACCAUGAGAUUGUGCAACUCCCGGAUACCGUAGGAGUGCUUAGGGUGUGCCAAACGUCACAACGUAACUGGGUGGCUAUAAAGGUACACUACAGGUAUCUCCGAAAGUGUCUCUUGGGUUGGCACGAAUCGAGACUGGGAUUUGUCACUCCGUGUAAACGGAGAGGUAUCUCUGGGCCCACCUGGUAGGACAUCAUCAUAAUGUGCAUAAUGUGACCAAGGAGUUGAUCACGGGAUGAUGUGUUAUGGAACGAGUAAAGAGACUUGCUGGUAACGAGAUUGAACAAGGUAUCGGAUACCGACGAUCGAAUCUCGGGCAAGUACAAUACCGCUGGAGAAAGAGAAUUGUAUACGGGAUUGAUUGAAUCCUCGACAUCGUGGUUCAUCCGAUGAGAUCAUCGUGGAACAUGUGGGAGCCAACAUGGGUAUCCAGAUCCUGCUGUUGGUUAUUGGCCAGAGAGUUGUCUCGGUCAUGUCUGCAUGGUUCCCGAACCCGUAGGGUCUACACACUUAAGGUUCGGUGACGCUAGAGUUGUUAUGGGAAAUAGUAUGUGGUUACCGAAGGUUGUUCGGAGUCCCGGAUGAGAUCCCGGACAUGACGAGGAGCUCCGAAAUGGUCCGGAGGUGAAGAUCAGUAUAUUGGACGAAGGGUAUUGGAGUCCGGAAUUGUUCCGGGGGUACCAGGUGAUGACCAGCGUGUCCGAAAGGGAUUUCGGAGGCCCCGACAAGCGUUGGGGGGCCUUAUGGGCCAAGGGGAGAGGGCACAUCAGCCCACUAAGGGGCUGAGCGCCCCUCCCACCACAUCUCACGUAACCAGGAGAGGUGGGGGCGCCACCCCUAGGGCAGCCGCCCCUCCCGGCUUGGGGGGCAAGUUUCCUAGGGGGUGGGGGCGCCCAAACCCAUCUAGGGUUUCCUCUAUGGCCGCCGCCCCUCCCCUAGGGAACCCUAGGGCGCCUCCCCCUCCUCCCUCCCCCCUAUAUAUAGUGAGGGAGAGAGAGGGCAGCCGUACCUUUCCCCUGGCGCAGCCCUCUUCCUCCUCCAACACCUCAUCCUCCUCCGUAGUGCUUGGCGAAGCCCUGCCAGUGAACCACGAGCUCCAUCAUCACCACGCCAUCAUGCUGUCGGAGUUUUCCCUCAACUUCUCCUCUCACCUUGCUGGAUCAAGAAGGAGGAGACGUCUCCCAACCGUACGUGUGUUAAAUGCGGAGGUGCCGUCCGUUCAGCGCUAGGAUCAUCGGUGAUUUGGAUCACGACGAGUACGACUCCAUCAAUCCCAUUCACUUGAACGCUUCCGCUUAGCAAUCUACAAGGGUAUGUAGAUGCAAUCUCCUUCCCCUCAUUGCUAGAUUACUCCAUAGAUUGAUCUUGGUGAUGCGUAGAAAAUUUUGAAUUUCUUCUACGUUCCCCAACAAUGGCAUCAUGAGCUAGGUCUAUGCGUAGUUUCUAUGCACGAGUAGAACACAAAGCAGUUGUGGGCGUCGAUAUUGUCAAUUUACUUGCCGUUACUAGUCUUAUCUUGAUUCGGCGGCAUCGUGGAAUGAAGCGGCCCGGACCGACCUUACACGUACGCUUAUGUGAGACUGGUUCCACCGACUGACAUGCACUAGUUGCAUAAGGUGGCUAGCGGGUGUCUGUCUCUCCCACUUUAGUCAGAUCGGAUUCGAUGAAAAGGGUCCUUAUGAAGGGUAAAUAGAAAUUGGCAUAUCACAUUGUGGUUUUCGCGUAGGUAAGAAACAUUCUUGCUAGAAACCUAUAGCAGCCACGUAAAAACUUGCAACAACAAUUAGAGGACGUCUAACUUGUUUUUGCAGCAUAUGCCUUGUGAUGUGAUAUGGCCAAAAGGAUGUGAUGAAUGAUAUAUGUGAUGUAUGAGAUUGAUCAUGUUCUUGUAAUAGGAAUCACGACUUGCAUGUCGAUGAGUAUGACAACCGGCAGGAGCCAUAGGAGUUGUCUUAAUUUAUUUAUGACCUGCGUGUCAACAUAACCGUCAUGUAACAACUUCAAGAAGACACGAUGAUGGAGAUCAUGAUUGAAAGGAUCGAUAUGGUUGACUAGAGGGGGGGGUGAAUAGGCAACUAACAAUUUUUAGCUUUUCUUUAACAAUUUAAACUUUGCAUCAAAGUAGGUUGUCUAGAUAUGCAACUAGGUGAGCAACCUAUAUGAUGCAACGAGGAUAGGUGCACAAGCAAGCAAGAGAUAUGAAACAAGUAAGCUUGCUCAAAUAAAGGCACGAGAUAACCAAGAGUAGAGACGGUGGAGACGAGGAUGUGUUGCCGAAGUUCCUUCCCUUUGAGAGGAAGUACGUAUCCGUUGGAGCGGUGUGGAGGCACAAUGCUCCCCAAGAAGCCACUAGGGCCACCGUAUUCUCCUCACGCCCUCACACAAUGCGAGAUGCCGUGAUUCCACUAUUGGUGCCCUUGAAGGCGGCGAACGAACCUUUACAAACAAGGUUGGGGCUCUCUCCGCAACUUAAUUGGAGGCUCCCAACAAAAACCACGAAGCUUCACCACAAUGGAAUAUGGCUCCGAGGUGACCUCAACCGUCUAGGGUGAUCAAACACCCAAGAGUAACAAAAUCCACACAAGAAAGUACGGGGGAAGCAAGUAUCCUUUGGUGGAAGUGUAGAUCUAGGUCUCCUCCUUCAAUCCCUAGCAAAUCAACAAGUUUGAGUGGCUAGAGAGAGAGAUCGGGCAAGAGAGCUUGAAGGGCAUUACUGGUGGAGUGAGAGAGGUCAAAGGUGGGAGUGGUAGGUGGGAGAAGCUCCCUUAAAUAGUCACCCACAUUUCCAACCGUUACUGCGUUUUUUGCACUUCAGCGGUACAACCGGUCCUCGUCCCGGUACAACCGGGACUCACGGUGUAACUGCAGAACCCUACCAAGCGGUACAACCGGACAGGCGGGCGGUAGUACCGGCUAAGAAAAAUAACCAGACUAACCGCCUGGCUACCGCACAACCACCGCAUCAAAACAGGAGCUUGACCGGUACUUGGGCGAUGCCUGGCUGGAACAACCGCAUGGCCUUGAGCUCUUGGGUAGCUAAGUUCUGAGCGGAAGAACCGCUCGGACCACCCGUGGUACCGGUCAUCGUGGAACGACCGGACCAACCGGGCCACUACCGCCCAAGAACCGCAUCAAACCAGAAGCGAGAGCGGUACUUGAGCGGUGCAUGGACGGAACCACCGCCCCCGCUGUUGCAGAGCAUGGUGGCGGUACCACCGCCCGGAGGCAGCGCUACAACCGCUCGAGCGAAGCUGGUGAGCAACAAGACCCAGCGGUACAACCGCUCCAGAGAGCGGUACACCGCUGGGAAGAAACAGUGAGCAGGAAAGAGGGGAAGAGGCAAGGAAAACUUGAAGGAAAUAUGCCCUAGAGGCAAUAAUAAAGUUAUUAUUUAUUUCCUUAUUUCAUGAUAAAUGUUUAUUAUUCAUGUUAGAAUUGUAUUAUCCGGAAACAUAAUACUUGUGUGAAUACAUAGACAAACUAAACGUCACUAGUAUGCCUCUACUUGACUAGCUCGUUAAUCAAAGAUGGUUAUGUUUCCUAACCAUAGACAUGUGUUGUCAUUUGAUUAACGGGAUCACAUUAUUAGGAGAAUGAUGUGAUUGACAUGACCCAUUCCAUUAGCUUAGCACCCGAUCGUUUAGUAUGUUGCUAUUGCUUUCUUCAUGACUUAUACAUGUUCCUAUGACUAUGAGAUUAUGCAACUCCCGUUUGCCGGAGGAAUACUUUGUGUGCUACCAAACGUCACAACGUAACUGGGUUAUUAUAAAGGAGCUCUACAGGUGUCUCCAAAGGUAAAUGUUGGGUUGGCGUAUUUUGAGAUUAGGAUUUGUCACUCCGAUUGUCGGAGAGGUAUCUCUGGGCCCUCUCGGUAAUGCACAUCACAUAAGCCUUGCAAGCAUUACAACUAAUGAGUUAGUUGCGAGAUGAUGUAUUACGAAACGAGUAAAGAGACUUGCCAGUAACGAGAUUGAACUAGGUAUUGAGAUACCGACGAUCGAAUCUCGGGCAAGUAACAUACCGAUGACAAAGGGAACAACGUAUGUUGUUAUGCGGUCUGACCAAUAAAGAUCUUCAUAGAAUAUGUGGGAGCCAAUAUGAGCAUCCAGGUUCCGCUAUUGGUUAUUGACCGGAGACGUGUCUCGGUCAUGUCUACAUUGUUCUCGAACCCGUAGGGUCUGCACGCUUAAGGUUUCGAUGACAGUUAUAUUAUGAGUUUAUGAGUUUUGAUGUACCGAAGGAGUUCGGAGUCCCGGAUGAGAUCGGGGACAUGACGAGAGUCUCGAAAUGGUCGAGACGUAAAGAUCGAUAUAUUGGACGACUAUAUUCGGACAUCGGAAAGGUUCCGAGUGAUUCGGGUAUUUUCGGAGGUACCGGAGAGUUACGGGAAUACGAGGAGGAAGCAAUGGGCCUUAAUGGGCCUUAGUGGGAAGGACCAGGAGGUGGCGCGCGCCCCUCCCAAGCCCAGUCCGAAUUGGACAAGGGGUUUGGGGCGCGGCCCCUCUCUCCCUUCCUUCCCCUCUUCCCCCCUUUCCCCCCUUCUCCUAGUUGGACUAGGAAAGGAGGAAACCUACUCCAACUAGGAGUAGGAAUCCUACUCCCUAGCACGCCCCUCCUAGGGCCGGCCUCCUCCCCCUUGCUCCUUUAUAUACGGGGGCAAUGGGGCACCUCUACACACACAAGUUGAUCCUCGUGAUCGUUUUCUUAGCCGUGUGCGGUGCCCCCUUCCACCAUAUACCUCGAUAGUAUUGUAGUGGUGCUUAGGAGAAGCCCUGCGACAGUUGAACAUCAAGAUCGUCACCACGCCCUCGUGCUGACGGAACUCUUCCCCGACACUUUGCUGGAUCGGAGUCCGGGGAUCGUCAUCGAGCUGAAUGUGUGCUAAAACUCGGAGGUGUCGUAGUUUCGGUGCUUGAUCGGUCGGGCCGUGAAGACGUACGACUACAUCAACCGCGUUGUGCUAACGCUUCCACUGUCGGUCUACAAGGGUACGUAGAUCACACUCUCCCCUCUCGUUGCUAUGCAUCACCAUGAUCUUGCGUGUGCGUAGGAAUUUUUUUGAAAUUACUACGUUCCCCAACAGUGGUAUCAGAGCCUAGGUUUUAUGUGUUGAUGUUAUAUGCACGAGUAGAACACAAGUGAGUUGUGGGCGAUAUAAGUCAUACUGCUUACCAGCAUGUCAUACUUUGGUUCGGCGGUAUUGUUGGACGAAGCGGCCCGGACCGACAUUACGCGUACGCUUACGCGAGACCGGUUCUCCCGACGUGCUUUGCACAAAGGUGGCUAGCGGGUGUUAGUUUCUCCAACUUUAGUUGAACCAAGUGUGGCUACGCCCGGUCCUUGCGAAGGUUAAAACAACACCAACUUGACAAACUAUCAUUGUGGUUUUGAUGCGUAGGUAAGAUUGGUUCUUGCUUAAGCCCGUAGCAGCCACGUAAAACUUGCAACAACAAAGUAGAGGACGUCUAACUUGUUUUUGCAGGGCAUGUUGUGAUGUGAUAUGGUCAAGACAUGAUGCUAAAAUUUUAUUGUAUGAGAUGAUCAUGUUUUGUAACCAAGUUAUCGGCAACUGGCAGGAGCCAUAUGGUUGUCGCUUUAUUGUAUGCAAUGCAAUUGCGCUGUAAUGCUUUACUUUAUCACUAAAGGGUAGCGAUAGUCGUGGAAGCAUAAGAUUGGCGAGACGACAACAAUGCUAUGAUGAUGAUCAAGGUGUCGCGCCGGUGACGAUGGUGAUCACGACGGUGCUUCGAAGAUGGAGAUCACAAGCACAAGAUGAUGGCCAUAUCAUAUCACUUAUAUUGAUUGCAUGUGAUGUUUAUCUUUUAUGCAUCUUAUCUUGCUUUGAUUGACGGUAGCAUUUUAAGAUGAUCUCUCACCAAUUAUCAAGAAGUGUUCUCCCUGAGUAUGCACCGUUGCAAAAGUUCUUCAUGCUGAGACACCAUGUGAUGAUCGGGUGUGAUAGGCUCUACGUUCAAAUACAACGGGUGCAAAACAGUUGCACACGCGGAAUACUCAGGUUAUACUUGACGAGCCAAGCAUAUACAGAUAUGGCCUCGGAACAUGGAGACCGAAAGGUCGAGCGUGAAUCAUAUAGUAGAUAUGAUCAACAUAGUGAUGUUCACCAAUGAAACUACUCCAUCUCACGUGAUGAUCGGACAUGGUUUAGUUGAUUUGGAUCACGUGAUCACUUAGAGGAUUAGAGGGAUGUCUAUCUAAGUGGGAGUUCUUAAAGUAAUACGAUUAAUUCAACUUAAAUUUAUCAUGAACUUAGUCCUGGUAGUAUUUUUGUAAAUCAUGUUGUAGAUCAAUAGCUCGCGUUGUUGCUUCCCUGUGUUUAUUUUGAUAUGUUCCUAGAGAAAAUUGUUUUGAAAGAUGUUAGUAGCAAUGAUGCAGGAUUGGAUCCGUGAUCUAAGGUUUAUCCUCAUUGCUGCACAGAAGAAUUAUGUCCUUGAUGCACUGCUAGGUGACAGACCUAUUGCAGGAGCAGAUGCAGACGUUAUGAACGUUUGGCUAGCUCAAUAUGAUGACUGCUUGAUAGUUUAGUGCACCAUGCUUAACGGCUUAGAAUCGGGACUUCAAAGACGUUUUGAACGUCAUGGAACAUAUGAGAUGUUCCAGGAGUUGAAGUUAAUAUUUCAAGCAAAUACCCGAGUUGAGAGAUAUGAAGUUUCCAACAAGUUCUAUAGCUAAAAGAUGGAGGAGAAUCGCUCAACUAGUGAGCAUGUGCUCAGAUUGUCUGGGUACUACAAUUGCUUGAAUCAAGUGGGAGUUAAUCUUCCAGAUAAAAUAGUGAUUAACAGAAUUCUCUAGUCACCAUCACCAAGUUAGUAAAACUUCGUGAUGAACUAUGAUAUGCAAGGGAUAACGGAAAUGAUUCCCAAGCUCUUCGUAAUGCUUAAAUUGACGAAGGUAGAAAUCGAGAAAAACAUCAAGUGUUGAUGGUAGACAAGACCACUAGUUUCAAGAAAAGGGCAGAGGGAAGAAGGGGAACUUCAAGAAGAACAGCAAGCAAGUUGCUGCUCAAGUGAAGAAGCCCAAGUCUGGUCCUAAGCCUGAGACUAAGUGCUUCUACUGCAAAGGGACUGGUCACUGGAAGCGGAACUAUCCCAAGUGAUUGGCGGAUAAGAAGGAUGGCAAAGUGAACAUAAGUAUAUUUGAUAUACAUGUUAUUGAUGUGUACUUUACUAGUGUUUAUAGCAACCCCUUAGUAUUUGAUACUAGUUCAGUUGCUAAGAUUAGUAGCUCGAAACGGGAGUUGCAGAAUAAACAGAGACUAGUUAAGGGUGAAGUGACAAUGUGUGUUGGAAGUGGUUCCAAGAUUGAUAUGAUCAUCAUCGCACACUCCCUAUAAUUUCGGGAUUAGUGUUGAACCUAAAUAAGUGUUAUUUGGUGUUUGCGUUGAGCAUGAAUAUGAUUUGAUCAUGUUUAUUGUAAUACAGUUAUUCAUUUAAGUAAGAGAAUAAAUUGUUGUUCUGCUUACAUGAAUAAAACCUUAUAUGGUUACACACCCAAUGAAAAUGGUUCAUUGGAUCUUGAUCGUAGUGAUACACAUAUUCAUAAUAUUGAAACCAAAAAGAUGCAAAGUUAAUAAUGAUAGUGCAACUUAUUUGUGGAACUGCCAUUUAGGUCAUAUUGGUGUAAAGCGCAUGAAGAAACUCCAUGCUGAUGGGAUUUUGGAAUCACUUGAUUAUGAAUCACUUGGUGCUUGCGAACCAUGCCUUAUGGGCAAGAUGACUUAAGACUCCGUUCUCCGGAACAAUGGAGCGAGCAACAUAUUUGUUGGAAAUCAUACAUACUGAUGUAUGUGGUCCGAUGAAUAUUAAAGCUCGCGACAAGUAUCAUUAUUUUCUGACCUUCACGGAUGAUUUAAGCAGAUAUGAGUAUAUCUACUUGAUGAAACAUAAGUCUGAAAAGUUCAAAGUAUUUCAGAGUGAAGUAGAAAAUCAUCAUGACAAGAAAAUAAAGUUUCUACGAUUUGAUCAUAGAGACGAAUAUUUGAGUUACGAGUUUGGUCUUCAAUUAAAACAAUGUGGAAUAGUUUCACAAACUCAUGCCACCUGGAACACCACAGCAUAAUGGUGUGUCCGAACGUCAUAACCGUACUUUAUUGGAUAUAGUACAAUCUAUGAUGUUUCUUACCGAUUUACCAAUAUCGUUUUGGGAUCAUGCAUUAGAGACAGCUGCAUUCACGUUAAAAAAUGGGGCACCAUCUAAGUCCGUUGAGACGACACAAUCUGAACUGUGGUUUGGCAAGAAACCAAAGUUGUUGUUUUUUAAAGUAUGGGAUUGUGAUGCUUAUAUGAAAAAGUUUCAUCUUGAUAAGCUCAAACCCAAAUCGGAGAAAUAUGUCUUCAUAGGAUACCCAAAGGAGACUGUUGGGUACACCUUCUAUCACAGAUCCGAAGGCAAGACAUUCAUUGCUAAGAAUGGAUCCUUUCUAGAGAAGGAGUUUCUCUCGAAAGAAGUGAGUGGGAGGAAAGUAGAAAACUUGAUAAGGUAAUUGUACCUUCUCCCUUAUUGGAAAGUAGUUCAUCAUAGAAAUCUGUUCUUGUGACUACUACACCAAUUAGUGAGGAAGCUAAUGAUGAUGAUCAUGUAACUUCAGAUCAAGUUACUACCGAAUCUCGUAGGUAAACCAGAGUAAGAUCCGCACCAGAGUGGUACGGUAAUCCUGUUCUGGAAGUCAUGUUACUAGACCAUGACAAAUUUGCGAACUAUGAGGAAGCGAUGAUGAGCCCAGAUUCCGCGAAAUGGUUUGAGGCCAUGAAAUCUGAGAUAUGAUCCAUGUAUGAGAACAAAGUAUGGACUUUGAUGGAUUUGCCCGAUGAUCAGCAAGCCAUAGAAAAUAAAUGGAUCUUCAAGAGGAAGAUGGACGCUGAUAGUAGUGUUACUAUCUACAAAGCUAGACUUGUCGAAAAAGGUUUUUGACAAAGUUCAAGGUGUUGACUACGAUGAAAUUUUCUCACUCGUAGCGAUGCUUAAGUCUGUCCCAAUCAUGUUAGCAAUUGCCGCAUUUUUAUGAAAUCUGGCAAAUGGAUAAACAAAACUACAUUCCUUAAUGGAUUUAAAGAAGAGUUGUAUAUGAUGCAACCAGAAGUUUUGUCAAUCCUAAAGGUGCUAACAAAAUAUGCAAGCUCCAGCGAUCCAUCUAUGGACUGGUGCAAGCAUCUCGGAGUUGGAAUAUACGUUUUGAUAAGUUGAUCAAAGCAUAUAGUUUUAUACAGACUUGCGGUGAAGCCUGUAUUUACAAGAAAGUGAGUGGGAGCACUACAGCAUUUCUGAUAAGUAUAUGUGAAUGACAUAUUGUUGAUCGGAAAUAAUGUAGAAUUAUUCUGCAAAGCAUAAAGGAGUGUUUUGAAAGAAUUUUUUCAAAGAAAGACCUCGGUGAAGCUGCUUACAUAUUGAGCAUCAAGAUCUAUAGAGAUAGAUCAAGACGCUUGAUAAGUUUUUUCAAUGAGUACAUACCUUGACAAGAUUUUGAAGUAGUUCAAAAUGGAACCGUCAAAGAAAGAGUUCUUGCUUGUGUAACAAGGUGUGAAAUUGAGUAAGACUCAAAGCCCGACCACGGCAGAAGAUAGAAGGAGAAUGAAAGUCAUUCCCUAUGCCUCAAUCAUAGGUUCUAUAAAGUAUGCCAUGCUGUGUACCUAUUGUAUACCCUACACUGUUUUUGGCAAGGGAGUACAAUAGUGAUCUAGGAGUAGAUCACUGGACAGUGGUCAAAAUUAUCCUUAGUGGAAUAAGGAAAUAUUUCUCAAUUAUGGUGGUGACAAAAGGUUCGUUGUAAAGAGUUACGUUGAUGCAAGCUUUGACACAUAUCUGGAUGACUCUAAGUCUCGAUCUAGAUACAUAUUGAAAGUGGGAGCAAUUAGCUAGAGUAGCUCCAUGCAGAGCAUUGUUGACAUAGAUAUUUGCAAAAUACUUACGGAUCUGAAUAUGAUAGACCCGUUGACUAAAAUUAUCUCACAAGCAAAACAUGAUCACACCUUAGUACUCUUUGGGUGUUAAUCACAUAGCGAUGUGAACUAGAUUACUGACUCUAGUAAACCUUUUGGGUGUUGGUCACAUAUCAAUGUGAACUAUGGGUGUUAAUCACAUAAAGAUGUGAACUAUUGAUGUUAGAUCACAUGGCAAUGUGAACUAGAUUAUUGACUCUAGUGCAAGUGGGAGACUGAAGGAAAUAUGCCCUAGAGGCAAUAAUAAAGUUAUUAUUUAUUUCCUUAUUUCAUGAUAAAUGUUUAUUAUUCAUGCUAGAAUUGUAUUAUCCGGAAACAUAAUACUUGUGUGAAUACAUAGACAAACUAAACGUCACUAGUAUGCCUCUACUUGACUAGCUCGUUAAUCAAAGAUGGUUAUGUUUCCUAACCAUAGACAUGUGUUGUCAUUUGAUUAACGGGAUCACAUUAUUAGGAGAAUGAUGUGAUUGACAUGACCCAUUCCAUUAGCUUAGCACCCGAUCGUUUAGUAUGUUGCUAUUGCUUUCUUCAUGACUUAUACAUGUUCCUAUGACUAUGAGAUUAUGCAACUCCCGUUUGCCGGAGGAACACUUUUGUGCUACCAAACGUCACAACGUAACUGGGUGAUUAUAAAGGAGCUCUACAGGUGUCUCCAAAGGUAAAUGUUGGGUUGGCGUAUUUCGAGAUUAGGAUUUGUCACUCCGAUUGUCGGAGAGGUAUCUCUGGGCCCUCUCGGUAAUGCACAUCACAUAAGCCUUGCAAGCAUUGCAACUAAUGAGUUAGUUGCGAGAUGAUGUAUUACGAAACGAGUAAAGAGACUUGCCGGUAACGAGAUUGAACUAGGUAUUGAGAUACCGACGAUCGAAUCUCGGGCAAGUAACAUACCGAUGACAAAGGGAACAACGUAUGUUGUUAUGCGGUCUGACCGAUAAAGAUCUUCGUAGAAUAUAUGGGAGCCAAUAUGAGCAUCCAGGUUCCGCUAUUGGUUAUUGACCGGAGACGUGUCUCGGUCAUGUCUACAUUGUUCUCGAACCCGUAGGGUCUGCACGCUUAAGGUUUCGAUGACAGUUAUAUUAUGAGUUUAUGAGUUUUGAUGUACCAAAGGAGUUCGGAGUCCCGGAUGAGAUCGGGGACAUGACGAGGAGUCUCAAAAUGGUCGAGAUGUAAAGAUCGAUAUAUUGGACGACUAUAUUCGGACAUCGGAAAGGUUCUGAGUGAUUUGGGUAUUUUCGGAGGUAUCGGGGAGUUACGGAAAUACGAGGAGGAAGCAAUGGGCCUUAAUGGGCCUUAGUGGGAAGGACCGGGAGGUGGCGCGCGCCCCUCCCAAGCCCAGUCCGAAUUGGACAAUGGGUUUGGGGCGCGGCCCCUCUCUCCCUUCCUUCCCCUCUUCCCCCCCUUUCCCCCUUCUCCUAAUUGGACUAGGAAAGGAGGAAACCUACUCCAACUAGGAGUAGGAAUCCUACUCCCUAGCGCGCCCCUCCUAGGGCCAGCCUCCUCCCCCUUGCUCCUUUAUAUACGGGGGUAGGGGGGCACCUCUACACACACAAGUUGAUCCUCGUGAUCGUUUUCUUAGCCGUGUGCGGUGCCCCCUUCCACCAUAUACCUCGAUAAUAUUGUAGUGGUGCUUAGGCGAAGCCCUGCGACAGUUGAACAUCAAGAUCGUCACCACGCCGUCGUGCUGACGGAACUCUUCCCCGACACUUUGCUGGACCGGAGUCUGGGGAUCGUCAUCGAGCUAAACGUGUGCUAAAACUCGGAGGUGCCGUAGUUUUGGUGCUUGAUCGGUCGGGCCGUGAAGACGUACGACUACAUCAACCGCGUUGUGCUAACGCUUCCACUAUCGGUCUACAAGGGUACGUAGAUCACACUCUCCCCUCUCGUUGCUAUGCAUCACCAUGAUCUUGCGUGUGCGUAGGAAUUUUUUUUAAAUUACUACGUUCCCCAACAAAACUCUCUCUCUCUCACACCUGAGGAAGGCAAAGAGAGGGUGAGAAAAGUGUACGUGAACUGAUUCCCCCAGAGCUUCCUAAUGAGGAUUCCCUCUUGAUAGUACGGGUACUCUACGACCAAAGAAAAUAAAAGCGUAGAGGACACGUCUUCGAUCUUUUCCUUCGAGAGGCAAUAGCAAUCCGAUGUAAGCCUAAGCGUCGAGAACUUGAAACAUAUAGCACACAAUUAGACCACAAAGGGUUGUCAUCAUCAUCCAAAACAUAAAGUAGGGAAAUGCCCUUUCAAUCUCCCCCUUUUUGGUGAAUGAUGACAACAACACGAUUUGCAAGAGAUAAGUCAAUGAAAUCUAGACGGAACUCCCCCCGAAUGUGUGCCCCAAUAAGUACUAGCUAUUAGAAAGCAUGGGGACACUUUCAGGACUAGACUCCCCCUAGAUUUUAUAGACUCAUCACUCUGAGCUCAAAAGGAUAGACAAUAUAAUACUUAGAGGCAAUAAUAAUGAUAAUGACCUACGAACGGAAAGGUAAACGGAGUAACAAGUCUCACACACAGCACGGAACGAAACAAGUCCACAAACAAACACAAAACACGAGAACAAGAGAAAAACCCAAGCAAAUCCCCGAGACCUAUAGAACCCUCUCCCCCUUUGGCAUCAAGACACCAAAAAGGAAAAGAGCAAAGCUAGCGACCCAAAGCUCAGGCGUCCUCCUCUGACUCCUCGGUCGCAUCUGGAUCUUCAUCAUCAGAGUCAUGAUCGUUAUCGUGAUCAGAUUCUUCCAUGGCAUUGUCAGCUGCUGCAAACGAGGAUGAUGGCUGGGGAGGGGCUUCAUCAUCAGUCCAGGUGCUAUGGGUAGAGAUCCAACGCUCCUCUGGGGUGAUGCUCUUCUCAGAGCCACUCUGAACCUGCAUGUUGAGGUGCUUCAUCAUUGCAAUUUGGCAACACCGUGCAAGCUUCUCAUUGACAUGUGCCUCAUACAUCUUCUUCUGGAUGUCAGCCUGGAGAAAAAAGGUCUUCUUCACCUUGGCAGUAAGUUUGGCCACCCACGAAGGCUUGGCCCCUGGCUCCAGCUCAAAGUCCUCAUCGUCAGAAGUAGCAUAGACAUCCUCAGGAGCAUGUUCAGGGAAGCGAGGCUCGGCAUGCUUCUUCUUCUUAAGGAGCUUGACCUCAUGAACAGUGAGGUUGUCUGGAGAAGUGAGGAGCUCUCCAGGACGACGAACAGCCCACACAGAGUUCAGAAAGCACAUGACAAACGGAGCGUAGAUUGGGACUUUACGGUAGAUGACCAUGUUGUACAUCUCAUGCCACAGCCAAUUUGACACAUCAAACGUUGCCCCUGUCCCCACCAUGGUCUUCAUAGCAACCAUCAAAUCAACCAGAUAGCCAUGAAUCUCAUCUUGAUUGCCCACCUUGGGCAAGAGCACAUUGCGGAACACUUGAUGCAUGAUGUCAUAGUCCUUCUCCAAAUCCUUGGAUUCUCCAACAAUCCCACGGCCCCGAAUGUACAGAGGGGCAAGCUUCUCCUUAGGCAUGGACUCAGGAAAAUCAUGAGGGCGAAUGCCACCCCUUCCUUCCAGACCGGUAUCCUCGUACCCAAUAGCAUUGCAGAAAGCCCUCCAGGGAACGUGAAACAAUUCAUCGCGACACAUGAAGGUGAGAGUGCGCGCAUCAUCUUCCCCAAAAUGAACCGUGGCAUAGAACUGAUGGAUAAGUUGAACAUCAAAGUCACAGUUGACUGACAUGAUCUUGACAAGAUCAAACUCCUCGCAUAGAGCUAGCGCCUCACCAAAAUACUCCAUGUUGUUUCUCCAAUGAUCAAAAUCAAUUGUCCACUGCUUGGCAUAUCUGUUCUUGUUGUGCUCAAAGAGUUCAUGAACAAUCCGCACUUGCAUCUCAUUCCGGAACUGAACAGUGGUCCAACGGGGAGCAAUGGGAACCUCAUACGGAUUCUUUGAGCAGAAGGCUUCCCAAUCGUUGGAUUUCCAACGAUGCAACGGCAUAACCACAUGUUACUUAGCAGCUGCAGACUUUUCACGGCGAGUGGGCUUGGUGGGAAUCACAACUUCUUCUUCUUCAUCAGACACAACCGGGCGCAAGGUCCUUUGUGCCCUCUUCUUGGUCUUGCGAGGAGCAGAGCGAGAACUAGAGCCACCUGAACACACACACGAAAAGAACACACAAAAACCCAACAAGGAUGAGAGGAUUGCACCCACUAGCAGAAAAGGAACAAGUUGCAACAACAGAGAAGAUAGAAUAGUGCUUAGUGGUUGAUAUACUCCGGUUGUACCGGAUCUUCCGCCGGUAGUACCGCUCCAGCGGUUGUACCGCCCGUAGGGGCGGUAGAACCGCUAACAGUGGCACUACCAGGGAAGAUAGAUCUAACCGAGGCAUAUGAAUCACACAAGUAAUAUUCCGAAUUCUAAGUGCUGCAAACAAGACAUGAGGCUAACAAAGAACUCUUCUAAGCCAUAGAUCGAACACUAAACGCGGAAAGAUGAGUAAAGCCCUAGACAAGGAAGAACCCUAAAAAAAUCUAGAGGCAAAGAACACGAGGCAUUACCACCAUCCAUGGGAAGAGAUCGGGAGGCCUCCACGGAGAGAAUCCACGAAGAGCCAAGGAUCCGAAGCACGAGACGCACUCCGGGGCAGGGGUAGAGAUGGCCGACAGCUAGGGCAAAAAAAGAAGAGGAACAAGGACGAAGGGAAAAAGACAACCCUUCAGCCCCGUCGAGUAUAUAUAGGCCCGUACACAUGCCCCGGUAGAACCGCUUAGGGGAGCGGUUGUACCGCUCGUCUGGUACAGACCGGUGGAUGGAGGCGGUACUUCCGGUGCCUGGGAGGCAGCGGUAGUACCGCACCGCAUCAACCGGUAGUACCGGACGUGGGUUACCAUGGGUUUGUGCGGUGGAACCGCCCAAGCACCGAACGGAGACCCUUGGGACGGCACAACCCGGUACCAGCGGUAGAACCGCUCGUGGUACCGAUUGUACUACCCGACCACCUAAGCCCAAGCCAAGAUCAAAUGAGUGCAAUCCUAAGGGAGGAAGAAGGGGCACAAAACAGGAGAGAAACAACACCCUAGGAGAACCUAACACAAAGAGCAAAGACAGAAAGAGAGAAAACAACACGAGAACAACAAGGCUAACUCCAACCUCCCGAAGAGAGGACGGUGGCCGAGGCCACCUAUGUUUGAGUCAAUUGGUAUGGCACCGCGAAGAAUUAUCCUUGGGUCCAUGACCAAAACUCGUCUUUGAAGCACAAGUACCAUCAAAUAUGGCUAAUGUGAAAGACACGAUCAAUUUAUGCAUAAUGGGGGGAGGGAGAGUUCAUUGAGAGAACAACACUCCCCCUAUGUCCAUGCCUACACCUAAACUAGACAACAAAUUGAGCGUGGUAGGGUGUGCAAGGGUUCAAGCCACAUUGCUCGAAUCAAUGAUAUUUAGCUCAUGCCUUAACUCGCGAAAUCUUGCUUCAUCCAAGGGCUUCGUGAAAAUAUCUGCAAGGUUGUCAUGAGUGUUGACAUAGUUGAGCUCGAUCUCUCCUCGUCUAAUGUGAUCCCGGAUGAAGUGAUACCGGAUCUCAAUAUGCUUUGUCUUGAAAUGUUGCACCGGAUUGAGAGAGAUCUUGAUGGCACUUUCAUUGUCACAGCAAAGAGGCACUUUGUCACAAGUGACACCGUAAUCCUUUAAAGUUUGCCUCAUCCAUAGGAGUUGAGCACAACAACUACCGGCGGCAACAUACUCCGCCUCAGUGGACGAGAGAGACACACAUCUUUGCUUUUUGGAAGACCAACUUACCAAAGAGCAACCAAGGAAUUGGCACCCUCCGGAAGUGGACUUCCUAUCCACUUUGUCUCCCGCCCAAUCGGAAUCCGAGUACCCUACAAGCUUGAAGUUUGAUCCUCUGGGGUACCAUAGGCCAAAGUUUGGGGUAUGAGCCAAAUAUCGAAAGAUUCAUUUGACCGCCACAUAGUGACUUUCCUUAGGUGCGGCUUGAAACCAUGCACAAAUUCCCACACUCAACAUGAUGUCCGUUCUAGAUGCACAAAGGUAAAGCAAGGAUCCAAUCAUGGAACGAUAUACCUUUUGAUCCACCACUUUACCAUUGGGAUCUAAGUCAAGUUGGCACUUGGUGGGCAUUGGAGUGGAAGCCGGCUUGACGUCACUUAGCUUGAAUCUCUUGAGCAUGUCUUGAGUGUAUUUUGAUUGAUUGAUGAAGGUUCCUUCUCUUCUUUGCUUCACUUUGAACCCUAGAAAGAACUUCAACUCUCCCAUGGAGGACAUCUCGAACUUUAAGGUCAUGAGAGCGGCAAAUUCCUCAUUGAAAGCUUUGUUAGGAGAACCAAAGAUAAUAUCAUCAACAUAUAAUUGGCACACAAACAACUCCCCUUUGACCUUCUUAGUAAAAAGAGUGGGGUCGAUUAGCCCAACUUCAAAACCACGGUCUUGUAACAACUCGGUAAGGUGGUCAUACCACGCACGUGGGGCUUGUUUAAGGCCAUAGAGCGCCUUAUCGAGUUGAUACACAUGAUCGGGAAAGUAGGGAUCCUCGAACCCGGGGGGUUACUUGACGUAAACCAAUUCAUUAAUGGGACCAUUAAGAAAAGCACUCUUCACAUCCAUUUGUUGUAACUUAAAGUUAUGAUGAGAAGCAUAUGCAAUCAACAUGCGAAUGGAUUCAAGACGAGCAACGGGAGCAAAGGUUUCACCAUAGUCGAUACCCUCGACUUGGGAGUAGCCUUGUGCUACCAAACGAGCCUUGUUGCGAAUGAUAAUCCCAUGGGCAUCUUGCUUGUUCUUGAAUAUCCACUUGGUUCCAAUGACAUUGUGGUUCCCCGUUGGCCUUGGCACCAAUCUCCACACUUUGUUGCGCUCGAAGUUGUUGAGUUCUUCGUGCAUGGCAUUGAGCCAAUCCGGAUCUUCUAGCGCCUCAUAGACCUUGUGGGGUUCCACACAAGAGACAAACACGUGAUGCUCACAAUAAUUUGCUAAUUGUCUACGAGUGCUUACCCCCUUUCUUAAGCUUCCAAGCACAUUCGUCAUGAGAUGAUCCUUGGUGGAGAGCUUGGAUGCAAUCUUGGCGGCACGACGCUCUAAUUCCUCCUCGGUGGUGAGUUGAGGAGCGGUUACUUGAUCAUCUUGAGCGCCGUCAUGAACUUGUUCUUGAUCUUGAACUUGCUCGGGGGAGAGAACUUGACCUUGGGCAUCACUUGGUGUGUCAACACCGUCUUGAGUAUGAUCUUGCCCUUGGUCUUGUUCAUGAGGUUGAGGGCCUUCACUUUGUUCUUCGGAAGCGUGUGGGCCUUGGGUUGGUGAUGGCUCCACUUGAGUGGAGCAUUGUCCUUCUCCUUCGGCCACAAGGGGUUCCUCAAUGGGUAGGAUAAAACCAACACCCAUUCUUCUUAUGGCUUGAGGAGGAAUUUCAUCACCUACAUCACAAGUGCCACUUUGCUCCACUUGGGAGCCGUUAUUCUCAUCAAACUCCACGUUACACGUCUCCUCAAUAAGUCCCAUGGAUUUAUUGAGGACACGGUAAGCAUGAGAGUUUGUAGCAUAACCAACAAAUAUGCCCCUAUGAGCUCUAGCCUCAAAUUUAGACAACCAAACACCUUUCUUGAGAAUGAAACACUUACACCCGAAUACCCGGAAGUACUUGAGGUUGGUCUUGUUACCGGUGAGUAUCUCAUAUGGAGUCUUGUUCAAGCCCUUGCGGAGGUAGAGCCGAUUGGAUGCAUGACACGCGGUGUUGAUGGCUUCGGCCCAAAAGUUGUACGGAGACUUGAACUCCGCCAUCAUGGUCCUUGCCGCAUCCAUCAACGUCCGGUUCUUCCUCUCCGCAACACUGUUUUGUUGAGGGGUGUAUGGUGCGGAAUAUUGAUGCUUGAUUCCCUCAUCACUAAGAAAUUCAUCCAAGGUGUAGUUCUUGAACUCGGUGCCGUUGUCACUUCUUAUUGUCAAGAUCUUUGCAUUGUGUUGACGCUGUGCUUCAUUUGCAAAGUCAAUGACGGUUUGUUGGGUCUUGCUCUUCCUCUUGAAGAAAUACACCCACGUGUACCUUGAGUAGUCAUCCACAAUCACCAAGCAAUACUUCCUACCUCCAAGACUAUCGAAGGAUGGAGGCCCAAAGAGAUCCAUGUGAAGGAGCUCCAAAGGCCUCUUUGAAUAAAUGAUAGUCGUGGGAGGGUGAGCCUUCUCAUGUAGCUUUCCUUCGAUACAGGCACUGCAAGCAUGAUCUUUAGCAAAACUAACAUUCGUUAGUCCACGGACAUGGUCCCCCUUGAGGAGACUUUGCAAAGAUUUCAUAUUGACAUGGGCUAAACGGCGAUGCCAAAGCCAUCCCACAUCAACUUUAGCCAUUAGGCAUGUCGCGGUCUUAGUGGGUCGCUCCGAAAAGUUAAUCACAUAUAGACCGUUCUCGACAUGCCCAACAAAGGCUACUUUAAGAGUCUUGCUCCACAAGAGGGCCACGGUAUCGAUAUCAAAGAAAGUGGCAAAGCCCAUGAUUGCAAGUUGACGAACGGAAAGUAAAUUGUAUGCAAGGGACUCAACAAGCAUGACCUUCUCUAUCGUGAGAUCAUGAGAGAUGACCACCUUGCCAAGUCCCAAUACCUUAGAAGAUGAGGCGUCACCCCACUCGACAUUGGUGGGCAUAGAUGGAACCUUGUGCACGUCCACCACCAAGUCCUUGCUUCCGGUCAUAUGAUUUGUAGCUCCGCUAUCGAGCAACCAUGAUCCACCACCGGAAGCAAACACCUACAAGAGAUCAAUGCUUGGUUUUAGGUACCCAUUUUGUAAUGGGUCCUUUGAUGUUAGUAACAAGGGUCUUAGGAACCCAAAUAGACCAUUCAAUGUAUUCAUGAAGAGAACCAACAAAUUUGGCAUAAACAUGCCCAUCACUAGCAUGGCAUAACACAUAAGAAGGAUUAAAAUCGCCGACUUUGUUGGGAGGGGUGACAUUGCCCUUCUUGACAUUGUUCUUCUUCUUCUCCUCGGGGGCACUCUCUCCCUCCCUCAAAAAGGUUUGCAUGAGAGGAGGAGGUCAUUUGGUCUUGUCAUUCUUCUUCUUGUUCUUGGAGUCGGGCACGUACCCAACCCCUUCCUUGGCCACAACUCCCUUUUGGUUGAUCAAGAGAUCGUUGAGGUUCUUCUUGCCUUGUAUGCAAGUCGCAAGACCUCUCUCAAGUUGCUCCUUCAACUUAGCAUUUUCCUCAACAAGAUGUAUAUGCUCACAACACGGGUUAGUAGCAUUUGCAUUAUCAAUUAAAACCAUAUGAGGAAAAGUUGCUUUCUCCUUAGUUAGCUUCACUUGGAGUUGAUCAUGAGACUCCUUGAGAGUAGUGUGAAUACCCUUCAAGGCCUUGUGGGCCUUGUCAAGUAUAUCAAACUCCUCUUUGAGUCUAGCAAGAUCAACCCCAAGUUUGGCCUUCUCGGAAUUUAGCACACGAGAAACAAUGAGGACAUGAUCAUAAUCUUUCUUUAACUUAGCAUGAUCAACGUUGUGUGACUCCUCAAGAGCCAAACGAAGACCACGCUCUUCCUCAAGAGCAUUGGAAAGAUCCGAGAUCUCAUCGGCAUAGUCACGACUAUGCCCUUCCAUCUUAGAGAUGGUGUCCUCGUAAGCCUCGACCAUGUCAUUGGCUUCACCAAGUUGUUCCAAGAGAGCAACAAAGUGCUUCUUGGAUUUUCCCUUGAGUUUGCCCAUAAAGGCCUCAAACUCGUUAGCCUCCACAUUAGCUCCCUCAAGUUCAUUAAUGCAAUCCGUCAGGGAAGGAUGAUUAAUGAUGGUAGUUUUGAUGUUGGAGGUUACCUUGUUGGUGGCUUUAGCCAUGAGGCACUUGGCGGUGAUGCUCUCGUUGGGUGAGUCGAAGAGAGACACCCGUGACGUUGUUGCAAUGGCAACGGAGGCCAUGGCAACCGACUCAUCAUCUUCAUCAUCGUCAUCAUCCUCAUUGUACUCUUCUUGCACAACCAAAGCCUUGGGAGGAGUCUUCUUGGAGAAGUUGUUCUUGUUGGGGAACGACUUGGCCUUAUCCUUUCAGAUGAGCUUGCCACCAUUGUCUUCCCUCUUCUCAUACGGGCAUUCUGCAAGGAAAUGACUCACGUUGCCGCAAUUGUAGCAAGUCCUUACACGUUGCUUGCCCCUUGUACCACUCGAGUUGUUUUUGCUAAAGUUUGGCCUCGAGUUUUUCUUGCUCCAAAAUUGCCUUGAAGCAAGUGCCAUGUGUUCAUGAUACUUCGUAUCUUCGGGGUUGCUCUCCUCUUCUUCCUCUUCUUCGUCUUCCACGAUGAUCUUGGCCUUCAAUGCAAGGUUAGGCUUCUUUGCCCGUUGAGAACGGAGCACCGCAUUGUCGGCGGUCUUGUCCAAAAUGUUCAUGGCCACAAACUCAUCCAACACUUCGCUUGAGGUCAAAGUGUGGAAGUCCGGUCUUUGACGAAUGACGGAGGACAUGGCCUUGUGAUAGGGCAUCAUUGCCUUGAGGAAUUUGCGCUUGAUCCAAUUGUCAUCCGUGUCCUUGCUCCCGUGAUCUCGUAGUGAGACCGCGAGUUUGGUUACUCUCCGAUAGAGCUCAUGAGGUUCUUCAUCUUCCUUCAUUGCAAACUCAUCGGCCUCAUCUUGUACCACUUCAUAGUUGGAGCAUUGAAUGCUUGCGCUUCCCUGGUAGAGAGACACGACACAAUGCCAUGCAACUUUGGCCAAGGCGAAAGGACGAAGAUGAGGUAGGUCUUUGGGUGGAAUUGCAUCUUGAAUGAUGAAGAGAGCAUUCUCAUUGAAUUGAUUGUCCGUGGCUUCUCGAGGAGUGAAGUUGCUUGGAUCAUGUGGAUAGAAACCUUCUUCAAUGAUUCUCCAAAGGUUAGUGUUCACAUGAUUUAAAUGACGUUUAAAGCGGUGAACCCAAGAAUCAAAAUCCUCAUUUUUCACAAUCUUAGGGGGAGGACCGGCAUGAUUCAAAUGAGUGGAAGGAACCGGUCCACCAUAAACAAGUGGUGGUUCCACAUGGGCAAAGAUGCCGGUGCCAUUCUUGCCACUAGAAGAAGGAGCCUUUUCACUACUAGCUUCCCCCUUGUCGGGGAUAGCAUCCGUCACCUUGUUGGCGGGAUCACCCACUUUCAACGGUGCGGUGGAUAGUUUAAGCCCCUCAAGAAAUUUAGUAAACAUGCUUUCGACUUCGGUCGUCAUGGAGGUUUUCAAUGUCUCCAAGGCCACAUUGAACUCCUCACGAGAGACCGAAGUUCCCCCAUCUCCCGUAGACGAGAUCGGAUUCACACCAGAGUGUUCCUCCACACCGUCUAUGGUAUCAACCAUACUCUUUGGACGGUAAAGUCCUUAAUAACGAGACGAGGCUCUGAUACCAAUUGAAAGGAUCAAUAUGGUUGACUAGAGGGGGGGUGAAUAGGCAACUAGCAAUUUUUAGCUUUUCUUUAACAAUUUAAACUUUGCAUCAAAGUAGGUUGUCUAGAUAUGCAACUAGGUGAGCAACCUAUAUGAUGCAACGAGGAUAGGUACACAAGCAAGCAAGAGAUAUGAAACAAGUAAGCUUGCUCAAAUAAAGGCACGAGAUAACCAAGAGUGGAGACGGUGGAGACGAUGAUGUGUUGCCGAAGUUCCUUCCCUUUGAGAGGAAGUACAUCUCUGUUGGAGCGGUGUGGAGGCACAAUGCUCCCCAAGAAGCCAAUAGGGCCACCGUAUUCUCCUCACGCCCUCACACAAUGCAAGAUGCCGUGAUUCCACUAUUGGUGCCCUUGAAGGCGGCGACCGAACCUUUACAAACAAGGUUGGGGCUCUCUCCACAACUUAAUUGGAGGCUCCCAACAAAAACCACGAAGCUUCGCCACAAUGGAAUAUGGCUCCGAGGUGACCUCAACCGUCUAGGGUGCUCAAACACCCAAGAGUAACAAAAUCCACACAAGAAAGUAUGGGGAAAGCAAAUAUCCUUUGGUGGAAGUGUAGAUCUAGGUCUCCUCCUUCAAUCCCUAGCAAAUCAACAAGUUUGAGUGGCUAGAGAGAGAGAUCGGGCAAGAGAGCUUGAAGGGCAAUAAUGGUGGAGUGAGAGAGGUCAAAGGUGGGAGUGGUAGGUGGGAGAAGCUCCCUUAAAUAGUCACCCACAUUUCCAACCGUUACUACGUUUUUUGCACUUCAGCGGUACAACCGGUCCUCGUCCCGGUACAACCGGGACUCACGGUGUAACUGCAGAACCCUACCAAGCGGUACAACCGGAUAGGCGGGCGGUAGUACCGUCUAAGAAAAAUAACCGGACUAACCGCCUGGCUACCGCACAACCACCGCAUCAAAACAUGAGCUUGACCGGUACUUGGGCGGUGCCUGGCUGGAACAACCGCAUGGCCUUGAGCUCUUGGGCGGCUAAGUUCUGAGCGGAAGAACCGCUCGGACCACCCGUGGUACCGGUCAUCGUAGAACGACCGGACCAACCGGGCCACUACCGCCCAAGAACCGCAUCAAACCAGAAGCGAGAGCGGUACUUGAGCGGUGCAUGGACGGAACCACCGCCCUAGCUAUUGCAGAGUAUGGUGGCGGUACCACCUCCCGGAGGCAGCGGUACAACCGCUCGAGCAAAGCUGGUGAGCGACAAGACCCAGUGGUACAACCGCUCCAGAGAGCGGUACAACCGCUGGGCAGAAACAAUGAGCAGGAAAGAGGGGAAGAGGCAAGGAAAACUCUCUCUCUCACACACACCUGAGGAAGGCAAAGAGAGGGUGAGAAAAGUGUACGUGAACUGAUUCCCCCAGAGCUUCCUAAUGAGGAUUCCCUCUUGAUAGUACGGGUACUCUACGACCAAAGAAAAUAAAAGCGUAGAGGACAUGUCUUCGAUCUUUUCCUUCGAGAGGCAAUAGCAAUCCGAUGUAAGCCUAAGCAUUGAGAACCUGAAACAUAUAGCACACUAUUAGACCACAAAGGGUUGUCAUCAUCAUCCAAAACAUAAAGUAGGGAAAUGCCCUUUCAAUGAUGAUGGAGAUCAUGGUGUCAUGCCAGUGACAACGAUGAUCAUGGAAGACCGAAAGGUCGAACAUGAGUCGUAUAGAAGAUACGAUCAACAUGAGAUGUUCACCGUUGAUGACUAGUCCGUCUCACGUGAUGAUCAGACACGGCCUAGUCGAUUCGGAUCAUGUUUCACUUAGAUGACUAGAGGGAUGUCUAUCUAAGUGGGAGUUCAUUAAAUUAAUUUGAUUAGAUGAACUCAAUUAUCAUGAACAUAGUCUAAAUUGUCUUCGCAAAUAUGUUGUAGAUAAAUAGCUCACGUUGUAGCUCCCUGUUUCAAUACGUUCCUAGAGAAAGACUAAGUUGAAAGAUAUUGUAAGCAAUGAUGCGGACUGGGUCCGUAGUCCGAGGAGUGUCCUCACUACUACACAGAAGGCUUACGUCUUUGAUGCACCGCUCGAUGUGCAAACCCCUACAACGUCGUCUGUGGAUGUUGUGAACACCUGACAGACACGUCCUGAUGACUACUUGAUAGUUUAGUGCACCAUACUUUACGGCUUAGAAUCGGGAUUCCAAUGACGUUUUAAACGCCAUAGAACAUAUGAGAUGUUCCAAGAGCUGAAAUUGAGAUUUCAGGCUCAUGCCCGUGUUGAGAGGUGUGAGACCUCUGACAAGUUCUUUAGCCAACAAGAUGGAGGAGAAUAGCUCAGCUAGUGAGCAUGUGCUCAGAAUGUCUGGGUGCUACAAUCACUUAAAUCAAGUGGGAGUUAAACUUCCAGAUAAGAUAGUGAUUGAUAGAGUUCUCUAGCCACUAUCACUAAGCUACUAGAUCUUCGUGAUGAACUAUGACAUGCAAGGGAUGGAAUUGAUCCCGGAGCUGUUCGCGGUGCUUAAGACCGCAAAAGGUAGAAAUCAAGAAGGAGCAUCAAGUGUUGAUGGUUUAACAAGACCACUGGUUUCAAGAAGGGCAAUGGCUAGAAGGGAAACUUCAUGGAUGGCAAACCAGUUGCCGCUCCAGUGAAGGAACCCAAGGUUGAACCCAAACCCGAGACUAAGUGCUUCUAUUGUAAGGGGAAUGGGCACUGGUAGCGGAAUUACCCCAAAUGCAUGGUAGAUAAGAAGGCUGGAAACUUCAACAAAGUAUAUACGUGUUAUUAAUGUGUACCUCCCUAGUACUACUGGUAGCACCUGGGUAUUGGAUACCGGUUUAGUUGCUAUUACUGGUGACUUGAAGCAAAAGCUACGGACUAAACGGAGACUGGCUAAGGGUGAGGUGACGAUGUGUGUUGGCAGUGUUUCCAAAGUUGAUGAGAUCACCAUCGCACGCUCCAUCUGCCUUCGGGAUCAGUAUUGAACCUAGAUAAAUGUUAUCAGGUGUCUACGUUGAGCAUGAAUAUGAUUAGAUCAUGUUUAUUGCAAUACGGUUAUUCAUUUAAGUUAGAGAAUAAUGGUUAUUCUGUUUACAUGAAUAAUACCUUCCAUGGUCAUGCACCCUAUGUGAAUGGUUCAGUGAAUCUCGGUCGUAGUAAUACACAUGUUCACGCCAAAAUACGUAGAUAGUACCACUUUCUUGUGGCACUGCCGCUUAGGUCAUAUUGGCGUAAGAUGCAUGAAGAAACUCCAUGUCGAUGGAUGUUUGCAGUCACUUGAUUUUGAAUCGCUUGACACAUGCGAGCCAUGCCUCAUGGGCAGGAUGACUAAGACCCCGUUUUCAGGUACAAUGAAACGGGCAAGUGACUCGUUGGAAAUCAUACAUGCUGAUGCGUGUGAUCCAAUGAGAAUUGAAGCAUGCGGUGGAUAUCGCUAUUUUCUUAUCUUCACUGACGAUUUGAGUAGAUAUAGGUAUAUUUACUUAAUGAAGCACAAGUCUGAAACGUUUGAAAAGUUCAAGCGAUUUCAGAGUGAAGUUAAGAAUCAUCAUAACAAUAAGAUCAUGUUCCUAUGAUCUGAUCAAAAAGGGGAUUUUCUGAGUUAUGAGUUUGGCAAUCACUUACGACAUUGUGGAAUUGUUUCACAGUUGAAGCCACCUGGAACACCACAAGGUAAUGGUGUGUCCGGACGUCAUAAUCAAACCCUAUGAGAUAUGGCGCGAUCUAUGAUGUCUCUUACCAAUCUACCGUUUUCAUUUUGAGGUUAUGCGUUAGAGACAGUUGCAUUCACUUUAGAUAGGACACCAUUUAAGUCUGUUGAGACGAUGCCGUAUGAACAUUGGUUUGGCAAGAAACCAAAGUUGUCGUUUCUUAAUGUUUGGGGCUGCGAUGCUUAAGGCUUCAGCCGGAGAAGCUCGAACCCAAAGUGGACAAACACAUCUUCAUAGGAUACCCAAAGGUGACAGGUGGGUAUACCUUCUAUCUCAGAUCCAAGUGCAAGUCGUUUGUCGCUAAGAACGGGUCCUUUCUCGAGAAGGAGUUUCUCUCAAAAGAAUUGAGUGGGAGGAAGAUAGAACUUGAUGAGGUUGUCGAACCUUUACUUUAACCAGAGAGUGAUGCGACACAGAAAGAUGUUUUUUGUGGCGCCUACGUCUGAUGAAGAGGAAGUUAAUGAUAGUGAUCAUGAAGCUUUGGAUCAAGUUGCUAUCAAACCUCAUAGGUCGACAAGGAUAUGUACUACUCGUGAGUGGUACGAUAAUCCUGUCUUAAAUAUCAUGUUGUUAGACAACAAUGAACCUACGACCUAUGGAGAAGCGAUGGUGGGCCCGUAUUCCGACAAAUGGUUAGAAGCCAUGAAAUCCGAGAUAGGAUCCAUAUAUCAGAACAAAGUAUGGACUUUGGUGGACUUGCCCGAUGAUCGGCAAGCCAUUGAGAUAAAUGGAUCUUUAAGAAGAAGACGGGCAUGGGCGGUAAUGUUACCGUCUAUGAAGCUCGACUUGUGGGAAAGAGUCUUUUCACAAGUACAAGGAGUUGACUACGAUGAGAAUUUCUCACCCAUAGCGAUGCUUAAGUCCGUCGGAAUCAUGUUUGCAUUAGUUGUAUUUUUCGAUUUUGAAAUCUGACAGAUGGAUGUCAAAAACAAGUUUUCUUACCAGUUUUUGUAAGAAAGAGUUGUAUGUGAUACAAUCAAAGUUUUGUCGAUCCUAAGGAUGCUAAAAGGUAUGCUAGCUCCAGCGAUCCUUCUAUGGACUAGAGCAAGCAUCUCGGAAUCGGAAUAUAUGUUUUGAUGGAGUGAUCAAAGCUUUUAGGUUUAUGCAAUGUUUGCUAGAAACUUGUAUUUACAAGAAAGUGAGUGGGAGCACUACAACAUUUCUGAUAAGUAUAUGUGGAUGACAUAUUUUGAUCCGAAAUAAUGUAGAAUUUCUGGAAAGCAUAAACGGGUGUUUGAAGAGUGUUUUUCAAAGGAAGACCUGGAUAAAGUUGCUUACAUAUUGGGCAUCAAGAUCUAUAGAGAUAGAUCAAGACGCUUGAUGGUACUUUCAAAGAACGCACACCUUGACAUGUUUUUGAAGGAGUUCAAAAUAGAUCAGCCAAAGAAGGGGUUCUUACCCGAGUUGUAAGGUGUGAAGUUGAGUAAGACUCAAAGCUUGACCACAGCAGAAGAAAGAGGAAGGACGAAGGUUGUCCCCUAUGCUCUUGUCAUAGGCUCUAUACGGUAUGCCAUGCUGAGUACCGCACCUUAUGUGUGCCUUGCCACAUGUCUGGCAAGAGGGUACAAAGGUGAUCUAGGACUGGAUCACCAUAUAGCGGUCAAAAUUAUCCUUAGAGGAAUAAGGAAAUGUUUCUCGGUUAUGGAGGUGAUAAAGAGUUCGACGUAAAGAGUUACGUCGAUGCAAGCUUAACACCCAUCUGGAUAGCUCUGAGUAGAGAUACCGGAUACGUAUAAUGGAGCAACAAUUUGGAAUAGCUCCAAGUGGAACGUGGUAGCAGCAUCUACGAUAUGACAUAAAGUUUUGCAAAAUACAUAGGGAUCUGAAUAUGGCAAGACCCGUUGGCUACAACCUCUCUCACAAGCAUAACAUGAUCAAACCCAGAACUCAUUGAGUGUUAAUCACAUAGUGAUGUGAACUAGAUUAUUGAGUCUAGUAAACUCUUUGGAUGUUGGUCACAUGGCGAUGUGACCUGUGAGUGUUAAUCACAUGGCGAUGUGAACUAGAUUAUUGACUAUAGUGCAAGUGGGAGACUGUUGGAAAUAUGCCCUGGAGGCAAUAAUAAAUUGGUUAUUAUUAUAUUUCCUUGUUCAUCAUAAUCGUUUAUUAUCCAUGCUAGAAUUGUAUUGAUAGGAAACUCAGAUACAUGUGUGGAUACAUAGACAACACCAUGUCCCUAGUAAGCCUCUAGUUGACUAGCUCGUUGAUUAAUAAGAUGGUUACGGUUUCCUGACCAUGGACAUUGGAUGUCGUUGAUAACGGGAUCACAUCAUUAGGAGAAUGAUGUGAUGGACAAGACCCAAUCCUAAGCCUAGCACAAGAUCGUGUAGUUCAUUUGCUAAAGCUUUUCUAAUGUCAAGUAUCAUUUCCUUAGACCAUGAGAUUGUGCAACUCCCGGAUACCGUAGGAGUGCUUUGGGUGUGCCAAACGUCACAACGUAACUGGGUGGCUAUAAAGGUACAGUACAGGUAUCUCCGAAAGUGUCUGUUGGGUUGGCACGAAUCGAGACUGGGAUUUGUCACUCCGUGUAAACGGAGAGGUAUCUCUGGGCCCACUCGGUAGGACAUCAUCAUAAUGUGCACAAUGUGACAAAGGAGUUGAUCAUGGGAUGAUGUGUUAUGGAACGAGUAAAGAGACUUGCCGGUAAAGAUUGAACAAGGUAUCGGAUACCGACGAUCGAAUCUCGGGCAAGUACAAUACCGCUGGACAAAGGGAAUUGUAUACGGGAUUGAUUGAAUCCUCGACAUCGUGGUUCAUCCGAUGAGAUCAUCGUGGAACAUGUGGGAGCCAACAUGGGUAUCCAGAUCCUGCUAUUGGUUAUUGGCCAGAGAGUUGUCUCGGUCAUGUAUGCAUGGUUCCCGAACCCGUAGGGUCUACACACUUAAGGUUCGGUGACGCUAGAGUUGUUAUGGGAAAUAGUAUGUGGUUACCGAAGGUUGUUCGGAGUCCCAGAUGAGAUCUCGGACAUGACGAGGAGCUCCGGAAUGGUCCGGAGGUGAAGAUCGGUAUAUUGGACGAAGGGUAUUGGAGUCCGGAAUUGUUCCGGGGGUACCAGGUGAUGACCAGCGUGUCCGAAAGGGAUUUCCGAGGCCCCGGCAAGCGUUGGGGGGCCUUAUGGGCCAAGGGGAGAGGGCACAUCAGCCCAGUAAGGGGUUGAGCGCCCCUCCCACCACAUCUCACGUAACCAGGAGAGGUGGGGCGCCACCCCUAGGGCAGCCGCCCCUCCCGGCUUGGGGGGCAAGUUUCCUAGGGGGUGGGGGCGCCCAAACCCAUCUAGGGUUUCCCCUGUGGCCGCCGCCCCUCCCCUAGGGAACCCUAGGGUGCCUCCCCCUCCUCCCUUCCCCCUAUAUAUAGUGAGGGAGAGAGAGGGAAGCCGUACCUUUCCCCUGGUGCAGCCCUCUUCCUCCUCCAACACCUCAUCCUCCUCCGUAGUGCUUGGCGAAGCCCUGCCGGAGAACCACGAGCUCCAUCAUCACGACGCCGUCGUGCUGUCGGAGUUUUCCCUCAACUUCUCCUCUCACCUUGCUGGAUCAAGAAGGAGGAGACGUCUCCCAACCGUACGUUUGUUGAACGCGGAGGUGCCGUCCGUUCGGCGCUAGGAUCAUCGGUGAUUUGGAUCACGACGAGUAUGACUCCAUCAACCCCGUUCACUUGAACGCUUCCGCUUAGCGAUCUACAAGGGUAUGUAGAUGCACUCUCCUUCCCCUCGCUGCUAGAUUACUCCAUAGAUUGAUCUUGGUGAUGCAUAGAAAAUUUUGAAUUUCUGCUACGUUCCCCAACAGUGGCAUCAUGAGCUAGGUCUAUGCGUAGUUUCUAUGCACGAGUAGAACACAAAGCAGUUGUGGGCGUCGAUAUUGUCAAUUUACUUGCCGUUACUAGUCUUAUCUGUUGGGGAACGUAGUAAUUUCAAAAAAAUUCCUACGCACACGCAAGAUCAUGGUGAUGCAUAGCAACGAGAGGGGAGAGUGUGAUCUACGUACCCUUGUAGAUCGACAACGGAAGCGUUUGGUUGAUGUAGUCGUACGUCUCCACGGCCCGACAGAUCAAGCACCGAAACUACGGCACCUCCGAGUUCUAGCACACGUUCAACUCGAUGACGAUCCCCGGACUCCGAUCCAGCAAAGUGUCGGGGAAGAGUUCCGUCAGCACGACGGCGUGGUGACGAUCUUGAUGUACUACCGUCGCAGGGCUUCGCCUAAGCACCGCUACAAUAUUAUUGAGGACUAUGGUGGAAGGGGGCACCGCACACGGCUAAGAAUAUGAUCACGUGGAUCAACUUGUGUCUCUAGGGGUGCCCCUGCCUCCGUAUAUAAAGGUUCAAGAGGGGGAGGCCGGCUGGCCAUCAUAGGGCGCGCCAGGAGGAGUCCUACUCCCUCCGGGAGUAGGACUUCUCCCCCAAUCCUAGCUAGUUGGAAUAGGAUUCGCGAGGUGGGAACGGAGAGAGAGAGAAGGAGGGGGGCGCUGGCCCCCUCUCUCCUUGUCCUAUUCGGACUAGGGGGGAGGGGCGCGCGGCCCAGCCCUGGCCGCCUCUCCUCUUCUUCCACUAAGGCCCACUAAGGCCCAUGUACCUCCCGGGGGGUUCCGGUAACCUCCCAGUACUCCGGUAAAAUUCCGAUUUCACCCGGAACACUUCCGAUAUCCAAAUAUAGGCUUCCAAUAUAUCAAUCUUUAUGUCUCGACCAUUUCGAGACUCCUCGUCAUGUCCGUGAUCACAUCCGGGACUCCGAACAACCUUUGGUACAUCAAAACGUAUAAACUCAUAAUAUAACUAUCGUCGAAACCUUAAGCGUGCAGACCCUACGGGUUCGAGAACAAUGUAGACAUGACCGAGACACGUCUCCGGUCAAUAACCAAUAGCGGGACCUGGAUGCCCAUAUUGGUUCCUACAUAUUCUACGAAGAUCUUUUAUCGGUCAGACCGCAUAACAACAUACGUUGUUCCCUUUGUCAUCGGUAUGUUACUUGCCCGAGAUUCGAUCGUCGGUAUCCAAUACCUAGUUCAAUCUCGUUACCGGCAAGUCUCUUUACUCAUUCCGUAAUACAUCAUCCCCUAACUAACUCAUUAGUUGCAAUGCUUGCAAGGCUUAAGUGAUGUGCAUUACCGAGAGGGCCCAGAGAUACCUCUCCGACGAUCGGAGUGACAAAUCCUAAUCUUGAAAUACGUCAACCCAACAUGUACCUUUGGAGACACCUGUAGAGCACCUUUAUAAUCACCCAGUUACGUUGUGACGUUUGGUAGCACACAAAGUGUUCCUCCGGCACAUGGGAGUUACAUAAUCUCAUAGUCAUAGGAACAUGUAUAAGUCAUGAAGAAAGCAAUAGCAACAUACUAAACGAUCGGGUGCUAAGCUAAUGGAAUGGGUCAUGUCAAUCAGAUCAUUCAACUAGCAUGUAUUAUGUUUCCGGUUAAUACAUUUCUAGCAUGAAUAAUAAACUUUUAUCAUGAUAUAAGGAAAUAAAUAAUAACUUUAUUAUUGCCUCUAGGGCAUAUUUCCUUCAUUAUCUUGAUUCGGCGGCAUUGUGGGAUGAAGCGGCCCGGACCGACCUUACACGUACGCUUACGUGAGACUGGUUCCACCGACUGACAUGCACUAGUUGCAUAAGGUGGCUAGCGGGUGUCUGUCUCUCCCACUUUAGUCGGUUCGGAUUCGAUGAAAAGGGUCCUUAUGAAGGGUAAAUAGAAAUUGGCAUAUCACGUUGUGGUUUUUGCGUAGGUAAGAAACGUUCUUGCUAGAAACCUAUAGCAGCCACGUAAAAACUUGCAACAACAAUUAGAGGACGUCUAACUUGUUUUUGCAGCAUAUGCCUUGUGAUGUGAUAUGGCCAAAAGGAUGUGAUGAAUGAUAUAUGUGAUGUAUGAGAUUGAUCAUGUUCUUGUAAUAGGAAUCACGACUUGCAUGUCGAUGAGUAUGACAACCGGCAGGAGCCAUAGGAGUUGUCUUAAUUUAUUUAUGACAUGCGUGUCAACAUAAACGUCAUGUAAUUACUUUACUUUAUUGCUAAAGCGUUAGCCAUAGUAGUAGAAGUAAUAGAUGACGAGACAACUUCAAGAAGACACGAUGAUGGAGAUCAUGGUGAUGGAGAUCAUGGUGUCAUGCCGGUGACAAUGAUGAUCAUGGAGCCCCGAAGAUGGAGAUCAAAAGGAGCAAAAUGAUAUUGGCCAUAUCAUGUCACUAUUUGAUUGCAUGUGAUGUUUAUCAUGUUUUACAUCUUAUUUGCUUAGAAUGACGGUAGCUUAAAAAAGAUGAUCCCUCACUAAAAUUUCAAGAAAGUGUUCCCCCUAACUGUGCACCGUUGUGAAGGUUCGUCGUUUCGAAGCACCACGUGAUGAUCGGGUGUGAUAGAUUCUAACGUUCGAAUACAACGGGUGUUGACGAGCCUAGCAUGUACAGACAUGGCCUCGGGACACAUGCGAAACACUUAGGUUGACUUGACGAGCCUAGCAUGUACAGACAUGGCCUCGGAACACGGAAGACCGAAAGGUCGAACAUGAGCCGUAUAGAAGAUACGAUCAACAUGAGAUGUUCACCGUUGAUGACUAGUCCGUCUCACGUGAUGAUCGAACACGGCCUAGUCGAUCCGGAUCAUGCUUCACUUAGAUGACUAGAGGGAUGUCUAUCUGAGUGGGAGUUCAUUAAAUUAAUUUGAUUAGAUGAACUCAAUUAUCAUGAACAUAGUCUAAAUUGUCUUCGCAAAUAUGUUGUAGAUAAAUAGCUCACGUUGUAGCUCCCUGUUUCAAUAUGUUACUAGAGAAAGAUUAAGUUGAAAGAUAUUGUAAGCAAUGAUGCGGACUAGGUCCGUAGUCCGAGGAGUGUCCUCACUGCUACACAGAAGGCUUACGUCUUUGAUGCACCGCUUGAUGUGCAAACCCCGACAACGUCAUCUGUGGAUGUUGUGAACACCUGACAGACAUAUUCUGAUGACUACCUGAUAGUUUAGUGCACCAUACUUUACGGCUUAGAAUCGGGAUUCCAAUGACGUUUUAAACGCCAUAGAACAUAUGAGAUGUUCCAAGAGCUGAAAUUGAGAUUUCAGGCUCAUGCCCGUGUUGAGAGGUGUGAGACCUCUGACAAGUUCUUUAGCCAACAAGAUGGAGGAGAAUAGCUCAGCUAGUGAGCAUGUGCUUAGAAUGUCUGGGUGCUACAAUCACUUAAAUCAAGUGGGAGUUAAACUUCCAGAUAAGAUAGUGAUUGAUAGAGUUCUCUAGCUACUAUCACUAAGCUAUUAGAUCUUCCUGAUGAACUAUGACAUGCAAGGGAUGGAAUUGAUCCCAGAGCUGUUCGUGGUGCUUAAGACCGCAAAAGGUAGAAAUCAAGAAGGAGCAUCAAGUGUUGAUGGUUUAACAAGACCACUGGUUUCAAGAGGGUCAAGGGCUAGAAGGGAAACUUCAUGGAUGGCAAACCAGUUGCCGCUCCAGUGAAGGAACCCAAGGUUGAACCCAAACCCGAGACUAAGUGCUUCUAUUGUAAGGGGAACGGGCACUGGUAGCGGAAUUACCCCAAAUGCAUGGUAGAUAAGAAGGCUGGAAACUUCAACAAAGUUUAUACGUGUUAUUAAUGUGUACCUCACUAGUACUCCUGGUAGCACCUGGGUAUUGGAUACCGGUUCAGUUGCUAUUACUGGUGACUUGAAGCAAAAGCUACGGACUAAACGGAGACUGGCUAAGGGCGAGGUGAUGAUGUGUGUUGGAAGUGUUUCCAAAGUUGAUGAGAUCACCAUCGCACGCUCCAUCUGCCUUCGGGAUUAGUAUUGAACCUAGAUAAAUGUUAUCAGGUGUCUACGUUGAGCAUGAAUAUGAUUAGAUCAUGUUCAUUGCAAUACGGUCAUUCAUUUAAGUUAGAGAAUAAUGGUUAUUCUGUUUACAUGAAUGAUACCUUUCAUUUCAUGUGAAUGGUUCAUUGAAUCUCGGUCGUGGUAAUACACAUGUUCACGCCAAAAGAUGUAGAGUUAAUAAUGAUAGUACCACUUUCUCGUGGCACUGCCGCUUAGGUCAUAUUGGCGUAAGAUGCAUGAAGAAACUCCAUGUCGAUGGAUGUUUGGAGUCACUUGAUUUAGAAUCGCUUGACACAUGCGAGCCAUGCCUCAUGGGCAGGAUGACUAAGACCCCGCUUUCAGGUACAAUGAAACGGGCAAGUGACUUGUUGGAAAUCAUACAUGCUGAUGCGUGUGAUCAAUUGAGAAUUGAAGCGCGCGGUGGAUAUCGCUAUUUUCUCAUCUUCACUGACAAUUUGAGUAGAUAUAGGUAUAUUUACUUAAUGAAGCACAAGUCUGAAACGUUUGAAAAGUUCAAGCGAUUUCAGAGUGAAGUUAAGAAUCAUCAUAACAAGAAGAUCAAAUCCCUACGAUCUGAUAAAUGAGAAUAUUUGAGUUAUGAGUUUGGCAAACACUUAAGACAUUGUGGAAUUGUUUCACAGUUGAAGCCACCUGGAACACCACUGGGUUAUGGUGUGUCCGGAUGUCGUAAUCGAACCUUAUGAGAUAUGGUGCGAUCUAUGAUGUCUCUUAUCAAUCUACCAUUUUCAUUUUGAGGUUAUGCAUUAGAGACGGCUGUAUUCACUUUAUAUAGGACACCAUCUAAGUCCGUUGAGACGGCGUCGUAUGAACAUUGGUUUGGCAAGAAACCAAAGUUGUCGUUUCUUAAUGUUUGGGGCUGCGAUGCUUAAGGCUUCAGCCGGAAAAGCUUGAACCCAAAGAGGACAAACACAUCUUCAUAGGAUACCCAAAGGUGACAGUAGGGUAUGUCGGCGUUCUAGGAACGGGGGUCCCCAGACUUGCCUGCCUGCGGCCUGCGGCGUGGCUCAAAUGGGGGCCCAGCGCGGCCCAUCUUCAUCAGCACAAGACUCAAGACCCUCGCGAGGGGCCAAACCUCGCGAGGCGGACGACAUGGCGCAUCCUCAGGCGAAGCCUCAUCAGGCUGGCUCGCGAGGAGGCAGAGAAAUCAAGGCAGGGUACCUCGCGAGGUGCCCAUGACGUAAGCCGUGACGAAUCAGGGCACCAGGCGGGUGCCAGCGCACGCAGCGUCCUUCUUUCCUCUUUGGUGCAAAGGGGACAAGCGCAGCUGCGGAGUACCGAGGCAUCAGGCAAAGGUUGCCACUUCGGUGCAACGAGACCAAGGCCAGGCGGACUAUGAGACGGAGGUCACCAUGGAGCCCAGCGCGACGUCAUCGCCAGAGCCUUUGGCAGGCGAAGACUGCUUUUGUCAGGAUAGAUGUACUAGAUGUCCCUCUUCAAAUUAGCCCGCCAUUGUUGGAUCCCUUCCCGUUCAAUAUUUGGGGAGAGGACCAGGGCCUCUAUAUAUAGGACUAGCCACCCACAAGGCAAGGGGUUCGUUCGGUUCGGCUCUUGGUCAUCAACAAGAGUGAGUAAGAGAGAGAGAGAGAAGGGUGACUGAACCUCCAAGAAGUUCAUUUCCCCAACCAAGAAUAGACCCUCGCGUGUCUGUUCUUCCUUGUAUUGAUCAUCCUCACCAGCCCCAAGAGGCAAUCCACCAACCACACACUAGAGUAGGGUAUUACACCACAUCGGUGGCCCGAACCAGUAUAAAUCUUGUGUCUCUUGUGCAUUUCUUUCAGUAGUUUAGAUCCUUGUGAGACGGAGAGGUUGAAGGUGUAAUCUCCGCGCGCACCCCAGUGUUCGAACCUUAAGGGUCUGCCGGAACCUGAAAUCCGACAUUUGGCGCGCCAGGUAGGGGUGCGCCGGAAUUUGUCUUCCACCACUCCGCUCUCCUCCGACCGUCGCAUCCAUGUCUGACGCUCGUCGGGCUCGUGCUGAGCGCCGGGCCGCCAUCGCUUCUCGCGUCGCCCAGACGGCCCCCGUCGGUGGGCGUCCUCGUCGUUCCCCGUCGCCAGCCGUCAACGCCGCCACCGGCCCGGCGGGGGGCGAGCAGCAGGCAUUGUCUCAGCACCUGUCCGUGCGGCAAGACGGCCGCACCACUUCCCCAUCGCUCGCACCAGCCGGCUCUUUGUCCCGCGCGCUCCGCACACCUUUGGAGGCUCGAGCUGCGCUCAUCGCGGCAAACGAGCUCCUGCGCUACCGCCCCGUCGAUGACGUCUACGAGGAGUGGCUCGACCGCGUCGCCGAGCUCGUCCGCGCCGCAGGGGGCUCUCCUGCGCCGUCCGCUCCGCUGCGCCGUACUCUGCCCCGCGCGGGCAACGAAGCUCCGGGGGCGUACCAGCCGCCUCCUCCCCAAGAAGACACCGUGGCUCCAAGGCGCAUGGCCCCUGGGCGGAACCCGCUCCGCCAGGUGCCAGCGCAGCAAGAACAGAGCUGCCAAGAAAUCCCUCGCCCGCAAGGGGCUGCCCGGGCGCUCCCUGCUCCAGCUCCGGCACACCAAGACCCCGCUCUACUCCUAGCUGCAGCGCAUGGGAACCCUCAAGACCGAGCUCUUCACCAACCGAAGCCUUUCAUGGCCACUGCGGGCUGCCUCGCCUACACCAUCGAGCUGCGCAGCGUCGCAUGGCCCGGCAAGUUCAAGCCAGACCUACCUCCUCGCUACGACGACACAACUGACCCCGCUGAGUUCCUCCAGCUCUAUGAGCUGGGCAUCGAGGCUGCCGGCGGAGACGAGAAGGUCAUGGCGAACUGGUUCCCCAUGGCGCUGAAGGAAGGAGCACGCACCUGGCUCCUGAAUCUGGCUCCAGGAACGAUCUCUUCCUGGGACCAGAUGCGCACCCGCUUCAUCGCCAACUUCCAAGGUACUCGCGACCGGCCACCCGCCGUGAGCGACAUGCGCCGCAUCAAGCAGCAACCCGGAGAGACCCUGCAAAAGUACAUCCAGCGCUUCAACAGCGCGCGCCUCAAGAUCCCCAGGGUGUCCGAGGAGGCCAUCAUCUCGGCCUUCUCUGAUGGCGUGCGCGACGUCAAGAUGAAGGAGGAGCCGGCGAUGCAUGAAGACCUCUGCACCUCCCUGGAGCUAUUCAACUUGGCGAACAGGUGCGCCAGGGCUGAGGAGGGACGCCUCUCCCUCCUCGAGCUGCCUGCCGCAUACCCAGAAGAGAAGAAGCCCAAGGCCAAGGACGUGAAGCGCAAGGGGGCUGCCGUGCUCGCAGCUGAACCAGACACCAAGCGCGGCAAGGAUCUGCCCGACUUUUCCAGAGGCAGCCGGUACUGCGUGUACCACGACCUCCACACCCACAACACCAACGAAUGUCAAGAGCUCCGUGCCGUGCGAGAAGGAAGGAUUGGUUGUCGCCCUGACCGUGCUGACCGGGGCUACGGCCGAGGAGGAGGAAGAAACCCAGGGCGCUGGGAAGAUCACGGCCCGCGCCAGGGGUGGCGCGACCAACCUCGCGAGGACUGCUGGCAAGACCUACCUCGCGAGGGAGACUGGAGGGAUCAGCCUCGUGAGGAUCGCCCUCAUGGCAACGCAGGCCUACCUCCUCUGCCGCCUCCACCAAGAAGGAACGAAGACCGCCAUCAGGACGAGGGGGCUGGGGGCUUCCAGGAGCCGCGCGCAAUCGCCUGCAUCCUGGGCGGAGCUCAAGCCCCAGCCUCCCAACGUAUCUUCAAGCAGUUCGCCCGCGAGGUGAAUGCAGUACUCCCCAAGCUCGAAGCAACGCGCCCCCUCAGGUGGUCGGCGUGCGCCAUCACGUUCAGCUCAGCAGAUCAGCUCAAGUGCUCGGCCACAGCCGGAGUCCUCCCGAUGCUUUGCUCCCUAGUCAUCAGCAACAUGCUGGUCACCAAGACCCUCAUCGACGGAGGGGCAGGGCUCAACGUCCUGUCCGUGGAAACCUUCAACAACCUCCAAGUGCCCUACGACCAGCUUCAGCCAACCAAGCCUUUCUCCGGAAUCACCGACGGCUCCACAGUCCCGAUCGGGCAGGUCCGCCUCCCUGUCACCUUCGGGGCUCGCAGCAACUACCGCACCGAGCUCAUCGACUUCGACGUCGCCGACAUCCGCCUUCCAUACAACGCCAUCCUCGGGUACCCAGCAUUGGCCAAGUUCAUGGCCGUGACUCACCACGGCUACAACGUCCUCAAGAUGCCAGGAAGUGGCGGCGUCAUCACGGUACCCUGUGAAGAGAGAGAUGCAGUGUGUUCCUUGGAGCGAGCCUUUCAGGCCGCGUCACUUGAAGACCCAGAUCGCAGAAGCAGGAGGCUUCCUGAGACCGCCUCCAAGAAGAAGAAGAUGUCGCCAGGCUCAGCCCCUCCGGAGGCAGGCCCCUCAGGGCCCGUGUCUGCCCGGGAGGACCCUCCUUCCAUCGCAUAGGAAAGCGCGCCCGGCGCCCUCCUCAGGCAAGGCUCGGGGGCUCUCACCUGGAGGGCCACCGACCUAGCCAGGGUCACGAGGGAGGCGCUUGGGCACCACGUGGAGGCGUGCUUCGAAGCACAUUUCCCUCGAGGAGGAACCAUGCAAGGAAGGCCAGACCAGCAGAGUUCGUCAACGAGGCCAUUCAAGAGCUACAGGAGUCAAGGGUCAUGAGAGGUUGCCGUCGUCCACCAGCUGUGGCCCCACAUCCAGACGAGGAUGGUGGGCUGCGCGUCUGCGUCGACAUACCAGGGCUUAAUCAGUUCGCCACGACGGAGCGCCUCUGGCCCUCGCGAGUGGGGCGCUGCGGAGAUCCACCCCACAACCGUGUUCGCAUGCCUUACGGCCUGCCGAGCGUGGCUGCGGCGUGCCAGCGCCUCAUGAGGGGCAUCGUGGAGGCUCAGGAGGACAGGCGUUCUGCAGCACUAGCGGAGAUGAGGACAGCUCAUGAGGGGUCACCAGUGCCUCCGGAGCCUCCCGAGGCCCCGGGGCCUGGGGGGUCGUGAGGAUCAGCUUCCGCAGCCCACCGAGUCUACUGCACCGCUGCCACUUCACCAACGACAUUCCUAGGUGACAUCUUCCAAGUUCCAUUCCUAGCUAGGGGCGCCCUCCCAGGGUUGCAUCACUCCCAGGCCGCGUGGGUCCGUCCCUGUGGUGUGUAUCUGCUUUUACCUUUCGGUCAUUAGUCUGCUUUGUUGGGGGCGCCCCUCGGGCUGCAUCAUCCCCAAGCCGCUGGGGCGAGGCCCAGUGGCGUGUAUCUCCAUCGCGCUUAUUUCCAACCUUGCAUUGCCUAUCACGCUUGAUUGCUUGAUGCCCGUUCGCGGCAACCCUUCUUCUCCAUGUCGACUACUUGCACGUUAAAGGGGGGGGGUUCCUGAGCAUCGUGACUCAGGGCUCUUACUGGCUCUCCAGCCCUCACCCUCUGGCCUUGUCCACGGCAUCGCGACCUGGCAUACCAGCGACGGCUGAGACAAGCUCGAGGGCCGGGACCCGAGGACGUAGAGUACCGGCAUCUAACCAAAUUUUGCAGGGACACAUUUCAAGAUACGGCCCAGUGCUGGGCGCAACCCGCCUAGAGGUAGGGCCUCGUGAGUCCCGCGCUGGCUCACGGGUGCCCAGAUACACCUCACCUACUCCAACCAGCAAGCUCUUGAGUGACUAACGAUCGACUAAUGGCCGUCAUGGCAACACCAUCUUCUUUCUGUGAUGACCCUGCAGGAUCCUUGGAGGGAACGGCGCUAGCCAAGGCCCUCACGAGGUUCCCUUCGCCCUCGCCCGCGCGAACCGCUUGCACGUUAAAGGGGGGCACCUGAGCAUCACGACUCAGGGCUCUUACUGGCUCUCCAGCCCUCACCCUCUGGCCUUGUCCACGGCAUCGCGACCUGGCGUACCAGCGACGACUGAGACAAGCUCAAGGGCCGGGACCUGAGGACGUAGAGCAGAAGGGGAGCAGAGGCGAGGAAGAAGGGGCUCGCGAGGACCUUGCCGAGCAAUCCCGCUCCUGCCUACGCGCGGACCUGAUGGCGCAUCAGGAACGAUCCCUGGCUCUCAUGAUAAGUCACCCCCCCCCCAAAACACUGGCUACCGUGGCACUACCCCCGCACUUAAAGCAACUCCGUACUAGUGACGUUGCUUCCCUUUCUCACUAAGCGACGGCUGCUUGGGCGCCAAAGGGGACCUCCUGAGCAUCGCGACUCAGGGGCUCUUACCGGACCCCGGGUCGCUCACCUCCUGGCCUUGACCACGGCAUCGCGACCUAGCAUACCAGCGACGGCUGACGCCGCCUUGGGACUGGGUCCUAUCGACGCAGAGCACCAAGCCCUCGCGAGGUUCGAAAGGGAGGACCGAACUACGAUGGAAUCAGCAACACGCACAGAUCCAUGUCAAAAGGUCAUAUAUAUUAACAAAGGGACUACAGGCACCUUACAAGCCCCCGCGGGGCGCAUUUUCGGUUCCUCGCAAGGAACGAAUCAAAAGGGACGCUAACUACACGAGCUACAGCAAGAGACGCCGUCAUCAACAGUGGGCCGUCAGGCACCGGCACCAACUCCAUCCAGAUCAGGGUCGGUGGCGGCCUGACGAGUCCGCCCUGCUCCGGGAGCGACGCCGACUCGGGGGCUCGUAGCUGUCGUCGCUCGUCUCCUGAGUCACGAAGCCUUUGCUGGAGUCGCUGGACCCUCCGGCGCCUCCACCGUGGGGGCGAUCAACGGGCCUAGCCCUCACCAGGGCAAGGUCCUGGCCACCUCUCCCGCGGCAGCACUCUAGCCGGCGCCCGUGCGCGUCGAAGGCCUUGAAGAACAUCACCGCCGCGCCGUCGUACUCCAGGUGGAUCGCGAAGACGCCCCUAUCCCUGCAGACCCAGGCGAUCUCCCUCCAGCCGCAGGACAUGAAGACCUCGCCCGGGGCUGCGACCACGACCUCUGCCUCGGUCGCGAGGGCGCUGCAGUCGGCGUGCUGCAGGCAGCACUCCAGGGGCCCUCCUGGAGGAACGAUGGAGGCGAAGAAGGGAGGCAGGCGAAUCGAGGACUGACGAGGAAUGGCGACGCGGAGCACGCCCUCCUGGGAGGAGCCCUCGGCGUGGACUCCGGGAGGAACCACCCACGCCUUUGUGACCAGACGACGCCGACGACGGCGUUGGCCGCGGGGAUCAGCAUCAACACCUCCGGGGCCCUCGACGUGGGCAUACAAGGGGAGCGGGAACCCCGGCGGAACUCGCUCGCCCCAGGGCGUCGCCGCCGCCUGACGAUCCUCCUCGUCCCGGCUGCAAAGGGCGAGUCGCUUUUUCGGCGGGAAAGGGUCUGGCCCCUCUCGAGGAGCCUUUCCCUUCUCCGCUGCAGAGAACCGGCGAAUUGGAGCCAUCACACCAAGACGGAGCAAGAGCAGAGGCGAAGGAGACAGCAAGGAGAGAUGGACUGGAAGGGCACACGCGGAGCCGUACUUAUAGCCGGCGAAGGCCAACCGCCGGCCUCCACGAUCACAGGUAAUCAUAACACGUUCUACAUGCAGGGACUUGUCCAACUCACGCGAUCACCAAGGCGUCGUGGGGAAGUGGAGACGCCACGUCCAAUCAACCGCCACGCGGCGCCCAAGGCCGCUGGCUGUUAGGGCCCGCAGCGCUUCGCCCUUUCCCUUUCGCCUCUCGGCACGGCCAAGUUCAUGCGCGCCUUGGGCCCGGGGGCUACUGUCGACGUUCUGGGAACGGGGGUCCCAAGACUUGCCUGCCUGCGGCCUGCGGCGUGGCUCAAAUGGGGGCCCAGCGCGGCCCAUCUUCAUCAGCACAAGACUCAAGACCCUCGCGAGGGGCCAAGCCUUGCGAGGCGGACGACAUGGCGCAUCCUCAGGCGAAGCCUCAUCACGCUGGCUCACGAGGAGGCGGAGACAUCAAGGCAGGGUACCUCGCGAGGUGCCCAUGACGUAAGCCGUGACGAAUCAGGGCACCAGGCGGGUGCCAGCGCGCGCAGCGUCCUUCUUUCCUCUUUGGUGCAAAGGGGACAAGCGCAGCCGCGGAGUACCGAGGCAUCAGGCAAAGGUUGCCAUUUUGGUGCAACGAGACCAAGGCCAGGCGUACUACAAGACGGAGGUCACCAUGGAGCCCAGCGCGGCGUCAUCGCCAGAGCCUUUGGCAGGCGAAGACUACUUUUGUCAGGAUAGAUGUACUAGAUGUCCCCCUUCAAAUUAGCCCGCCAUUGUUGGAUCCCUUCUCGCUCAAUAUUUGGGGAGAGGACCAGGGCCUCUAUAUAUAGGACUAGCCACCCACAAGGCAAGGGGUUCGUUCGGUUCGGCUCUUGGUCAUCAACAAGAGUGAGUAAGAGAGAAAGAGAGAGAAGGGUGACUGAACCUCCAAGCAGUUCAUCGCCCCAGCCAAGAACAGACCCUCGCGCGUCUGUUCUUCCUUGUAUUGAUCAUCCUCACCAGCCCCAAGAGGCAAUCCACCAACCACACACUGGAGUAGGGUAUUACACCACAUCGGUGGCCCGAACCAGUAUAAAUCUUGUGUCUCUUGUGCAUUUCUUUCAGUAGUUUAGAUCCUUGUGAGACGGAGAGGUUGAAGGUGUAAUCUCCGCGCGCACCCCAGUGUUCGAACCUUAAGGGUCUGCCGGAACCCGAAAUCCGACAGGGUAUACCUUCUAUCUCAGAUCCGAGGGCAAAUUGUUUGUCGCUAAGAACGGGUCCUUUCUCGAGAAGGAGUUUCUCUCGAAAGAAUUGAGUGGGAGGAAGAUAGAACUUGAUGAGGUUGCUGAACCGUUACUUCAACCAGAGAGUGAUGCAACACAGAAAGAUGUUUUCUGUGGCGCCUACGUCUGUUGAAUAGGAAGUUAAUGAUAGUGAUCAUGAAGCUUCGGAUCAAGUUGCUACCGAACCUCGUAGGUCGACAAGGAUAUGUACUACUCCUAAGUGGUACGGUAAUCCUGUCUUAGAUAUCAUGUUGUUAGACAACAAUGAACCUACGAGCUAUGGAGAAGCGAUGGUGGGCCCAUGUUCCGACAAAUGGUUAGAAGCCAUGAAAUCCGAGAUAGGAUCCAUAUAUCAGAACAAAGUAUGGACUUUGGUGGACUUGCCCGACGAUCGGCAAGCCAUUGAGAUAAAAUGGAUCUUUAAGAAGAAGACGGACGUGGGCGGUAAUGUUACCAUCUAUGAAGCUCGACUUGUGGGAAAGAGUCUUUUCACAAGUUCAAGGAGUUGACUACGAUGAGAAUUUCUCACCCAUAGCGGUGCUUAAGUCCGUCAGAAUCAUGAAAGCAUUAGCUGUAAUUUUUGAUUAUGAAAUCUUACAAAUGGAUGUCAAAACAAGUUUUCUUACCAGUUUUCGUAAGAAAAGUUGUAUGUGAUACAAUAAAAGGUUUUGUCGAUCCUAAGGAUGCUAAAAGGUAUGCUGGCUCCAGCAAUCCUUCUAUGGACUAGAGCAAGCAUCUCGGAAUCGGAAUAUAUGUUUUGAUGGAGUGAUCAAAGCUUUUAGGUUUAUACAAUGUUUGCUAGAAACUUGUAUUUACAAGAAAGUGAGUGGGAGCACUACAACAUUUCUGAUAAGUAUAUGUGGAUGACAUAUUGUUGAUCCGAAAUAAUGUAGAAUUUCUGGAAAGCAUAAACGGUUGUUUGAAGAGUGUUUUUCAAAGGAAAGACCUGGAUAAAGCUGCUUACAUAUUGGGCAUCAAGAUCUAUAGAGAUAGAUCAAGACGCCUGAUGGUACUUUCAAAGAACGCACACCUUGACAUGUUUUUGAAGGAGUUCAAAAUAGAUCAGUCAAAGAAGGGGUUCUUACCUGAGUUGUAAGGUGUGAAGUUGAGUAAGACUCAAAGAUUGACCACGGCAGAAGAAAGAGGAAGGACGAAAGGUCGUCCCCUAUGCUCUUGUCAUAGGCUCUAUACGGUAUGCCAUGUUGAAGUACCGCACCUAUUGUGUGCCUUGCCACAUGUCUGGCAAGAGGGUACAAAGGUGAUCUAGGAGUGGAUCACCAGAUAGCAGUCAAAAUUAUCCUUAGAGGAAUAGGGAAAUGUUUCUCGGUUAUGGAGGUGAUAAAGAGUUCGACAUAAAGAGUUACGUCGAUGCAAGCUUAACACCUAUCCGGAUAGCUCUGAGUAGAGAUACCGGAUAUGUAUAAUGGAGCAAUAAUUUGGAAUAGCUCCAAGUGGAACGUGGUAGCAGCAUCUACGAUAUAAAGUUUUGCGAAUACAUAGGGAUCUGAAUAUGGCAAGACUCGUUGACUACAACCUCUCUCACAAGCGUAACAUGAUCAAACCCAGAACUCUUUGAGUGAUUAUCACAUAGUGAUGUGAACUAGAACAUUGAGUCUAGUAGACUCUUGGAUGUGGGUCACAUGGCGAUGUGACCUGUGAGUGUUAAUCACAUGGCGAUGUGAACUAGAUUAUUGACUCUAGUGCAAGUGGGAGACUGUUGGAAAUAUGCCCUAGAGGCAAUAAUAAAUUGGUUAUUAUUAUAUUUCAUUGUUCAUGAUAGUCGUUUAUUAUCCAUGCUAGAGUUGUAUUGAUAGGAAACUCGGAUACAUGUGUGGAUACAUAGACAACACCAUGUCCCUAGUAAGCCCCUAGUUGACUAGCUCGUUGAUCAAUAGAUGGUUACGGUUUCCUGACCAUGGACAUUGGAUGUCGUUGUUAACGGGAUCACAUCAUUAGGAUAAUGAUGUGAUGGACAAGACCCAAUCCUAAGCCUAGCACAAAGAUUGUAUAGUUCGUAUGCUAAAGCUUUUCUAAUGUCAAGUAUCAUUUCCUUAGACCAUGAGAUUGUGCAACUCCCGGAUACCGUAGGAGUGCUUUGGGUGUGCCAAACGUCACAACGUAAUUGGGUGGCUAUAAAGGUACACUACAGGUAUCUCCGAAAGUGUCUGUUGGGUUGGCACGAAUCGAGACUGGGAUUUGUCACUCCGUGUAAAUGGAGAGGUAUCUCUGGGCCCACUCGGUAGGACAUCAUCAUAAUGUGCACAAUGUGAUCAAGGAGUUGAUCACGGGAUGAUGUGUUAUGGAACGAGUAAAGAGACUUGCCGGUAACGAGAUUGAACAAGGUAUCGGGAUACCGACGAUCGAAUCUCGGGCAAGUAUCGUACCGCUAGACAAAGGGAAUUGUAUACGGGAUUGACUGAAUCCUUGACAUCGUGGUUCAUCCAAUGAGAUCAUCGUGGAGCAUGUGGGAGCCAACAUGGGUAUCCAGAUCCCGCUGUUGGUUAUUGACCGGAGAGUUGUCUCGGCCAUGUCUGCAUGACUCCCGAGCCCGUAGGGUCUACACACUUAAGGUUCGAUGACGCUAGGGUUAUAGGGAAAGUAUAUACGCGGUUAUCGAAUGUUGUUCAGAGUCCCGGAUGAGAUCUCGGACGUCACGAGGAGUUCCGGAAUGGUCUGGAGGUAAAGAUUGAUAUAUAGGAAGUAUGGUUUUGGCCACCGGAAGUGUUCCGGGCAUCACCAGUAGUGUACCGGGACCACCGGAGGGGUCCGGGGGUCCACCGGGAGGGGCCACGAGCCCCGGAGGCAUACCUGGGCCAAGUGUGAGAAGGGACUAGCCCCUAGGUGGGCUGGGGCGCCUCCCCACCAAGGCCCAUGCGCCUAAGGGGAAGAGGGGACAAACCCUAAGGGCAGAUGGGCCCUAAGGCCCAUGCCUGGUGCGCCUCCCUCUUCCCCUCCCCUUGGCCGCCUCCCAGAUGGGAUCUGGGGGCUGCCGCCACCCCUAGGGAGGGAACCCUAGGUGGGGGCGCAGCCCCUCCCCUCCCCCUAUAUAUACUUGAGGUAUGGGGCUGCCCAACACAUGUGAUUUUGCACUCCCUGUUGGCGCAGCCCUACCUCUCUCCCUCCUCGUCUCUCGUAGUGCUUGGCGAAGCCCUGCUGGAGUCCCGCGCUCCUCCACCACCACCACGCUGUCGUGCUGCUGCUGGAUGGAGUCUUCCCCAACCUCUCCUUCUCCCCUUGCUGGAUCAAGGUGUAGGAGACAUCACCGGGCUGUACGUGUGUUGAACACGGAGGUGCCGUCCGUUCAGCACUAGGAUCAUCGAUGAUUUGGAUCACGACGAGUACGACUCCAUCAACCCCGUUCACUUGAACGCUUCCGCUUAGCGAUCUACAAGGGUAUGUAGAUGCACUCUCCUUCCCCUUGUUGCUAGAUUACUCCAUAGAUUGAUCUUGGUGAUGCGUAGAAAAUUUUGAAUUUCUGCUACGUUCCCCAACAACAACUACUUUGUGUUCUACUCGUGCAUAGAAACUACGCAUAGACCUAGCUCAUGAUGCCACUAUUAGGGAACGUAGCAGAAAUUCAAAAUUUUCUACGCAUCACCAAGAUCAAUCUAUGGAGUAAUCUAGCAACGAGGGGAAGGAGAGUGCAUCUACAUACCCUUGUAGAUCGCUAAGCGGAAGCGUUCAAGUGAACCGGGCUGAUGGAGUCGUACUCGUCAUGAUCCAAAUCACCGAUGAUCCUAGCGCCGAACGGACGGCACCUCCGCGUUCAACACACUACGGAACGGAGACGUCUCCCACGCCUUGAUCCAGCAAGGAGGAGGGAGAGGUUGAGGAAGAGAGUCCAACAGCAGCACGACGGCGUGGUGGUGAUGGAGCGACAGUUCUCCGGCAGGGCUUCGCCAAGCUCACGCGGAGGAGGAGAGGUAUUGGAGGGGAGGGGCUGCGCCGGGUUUAAGGGGGUGGCCACCCUCCCACCCCUCCACUAUUUAUAGGUCGGGAGAGAGGGGGUCGGCCCCCCUAGAUCCCAUCUAGGGUUGGGGGCGGCGGCCAAGGGGGGAGGAGUGCCUCCCAAGUCAAGUGGAGGCCCUCCCCCUUAGGGUUUCCCCUCUCCCAUGCGCAUGGGCCUUGGGGGGGCUGGUGUCCUUGGCCCAUUAAGGCUAGGGCGCCCCCCUAUAGCCCAUGUUGCUGUAUUGGACGUGGUGGAACAUUUUCCGGACCUCCGGACCCCUCCGGAAUCCUCCGGAACCUUCCGGAAGCUUCCCGGUACAAUACCAGAAAAAACCAAACUUUUCCCGGAACCCGAACAACAACUUUCCAUAUAUAAAUCUUUACCUCCGGACCAUUCCGGAACUCCUCGUGACAUCCGGGAUCUCAUCCGGGACUCCGAACAACAUUCGAUAAUCACAUACAAGUCUUCCUAAUAACCCUAGCGUCAUCGAACCUUAAGUGUGUAGACCCUACGGGUUCGGGAACCAUGCAGACAUGACCGAGACAACUCUCCGGCCAAUAACCAACAGCGGGAUCUGGAUACCCAUGUUGGCUCUCACAUGUUCCACGAUGAUCUCAUCGGAUGAACCACGAUGUCGAGGAUUCAAUCAAUCCCGUAUUCAAUUCCCUUUGUCCAGCGGUAUUGUACUUGCCCAAGAUUCGAUCGUCGGUAUCCGAUACCUUGUUCAAUCUCGUUACCGGCAAGUCUCUUUACUCGUUCCGUAACACAUCAUCCCGUGAUCAACUCCUUGGUCACAUUAUGCACAUUAUGAUGAUGUCCUACCGAGUGGGCCCAGAGAUACCUCUCCGUCACACGGAGUGACAAAUCCCAGUCUCGAUUCGUGCCAACCCAACAGACACUUUCGGAGAUACCCGUAGUGCACCUUUAUAGCCACCCAGUUACGUUGUGACGUUUGGUACACCCAAAGCAUUCCUACGGUAUCUGGGAGUUGCACAAUCUCAUGGUCUAAGGAAAUGAUACUUGACAUUAGAAAAGCUUUAGCAUACGAACUACACGAUCUUUGUGCUAGGCUUAGGAUUGGGUCUUGUCCAUCACAUCAUUCUCCUAAUGAUAUGAUCCCGUUAUCAACGACAUCCAAUGUCCAUGGUCAGGAAACCGUAACCAUCUAUUGAUCAACGAGCUAGUCAACUAGAGGCUUACUAGGGACAUGGUGUUGUCUAUGUAUCCACACAUGUAUCUGAAUUUCCUAUCAAUACAAUUCUAGCAUGGAUAAUAAACGAUUAUCAUGAACAAGGAAAUAUACUAAUAACUAAUUUAUUAUUGCCUCUAGGGCAUAUUUCCAACACACACACACACAUGAAUCCUCGCUUUUCUCACUCUGUCCCUUCGUCCUUGUUGUGUAUCCGCGUAGUCCGAGGUCCCCGUCCCCGAAAGAAACCUAGAAGAGAUCGAAACACAACUCUUUUCGCCGCCAGUGAAGCCUCGACGACUCAAGUCGCGACUCGCCUAAGACGAUGUAGAUCUUCAUGAAGACCCUGACAGGUAAAACCAUCAUGCUGGAGGUGGAGGGGCAGCGACACCGUGGACAGCGUCAAGGGCAAGGUCUAGGAUAAGAAAGGGAUCCCGCCGGACCAGCAGCAGCUCAUAUCUUCGCCGAGAAGCAGCUGGAGGACGGUCGCUUGCUGGCAACUACAACGUGCACAAGGAGUCGACGCAUCCCCUGGUGCUCCGCCUCCGCAACGGCACCACCAUCAAGGUCAAGACACCCACCGCCAAGGAGAUCGGGAUCAACAUCGAGCCCACGGACACGUCCGACAGGAUCAAGGAGCACGUCGAGGAGAAGGAGGGCAUCCCGCCCGUCCAGCAGAGGCUCAUCUUCGAUGGCAAGCAGAUGGCCGCCGACAAGACGGUGCAAAAGUACAAGGUCAAGGGCGGCUACGUGCUCCACCUCGUGCUCGCCCUCAGGGGCGGUGCCUGCUAGAAUUUGGGUCUUAUGGUCGCUCGCUUUUCCAUGAGGGUGUAGCUUUGGUUUUUUUUCUUGCGUAUGAUUUUGGUUGGAACUUUUUGAACAGUGUUUGAGUCUCUUUAAAGCCAUAAUGUUUGAGGCCAGGUUACAUGUACGUACAAUCACAACAGUUGUCUGCACAAUAAUCUUUUCCCAUCCGUUCAUAUAUUUUUACCACCAAUCCACUAAAUCAAAGAUAUGAAAAUUUGUUUUGAGGCAAAUGUUGCCUCGCCGUUUGAAUAAAGAUACUUGCACUAACCAAUCAAAGAUAUGCAAUUUUUUACCGCUAUAAGGCACGAUGCUGACCGUCCGACUGGAUCGGACAGACGAGAACCACGCGGAAAUGCUGUCCAGAAUUCAGUCGUAGAAUGGGCCAAUUUUGACCCGCAAAAAAAUAGAAUGGACCAAUUUCUCCUCCAGGCUAUGGCCUGGUUGACUCUAUAUCUAUGGUCGCACAAAAUGGUUUUUCUUUUGGAUGAAUUUAUUUGUUGGGCCAGUGAAGUUAAUAUAUAACACCAAUAGGUUUUGGGCCGAGUUAUGAAAAUGUUUUUCCAGUGUAUUUUCUGCUAUAUUAUGAAAAUAUAAAUUAUGUAUGCACUAUUCAAAUGAGAAAUAUGAGCUCAAAUUUAUGUUGAAAGUUACUUUAAUGAUGAGAGAUUUUUAUAAUGUUUUUCCGUGGGUUAUAAUGGACCUAAUUAUGGUAUCAAUCAUUUUAUUUAUCUUUAGUGCUUUCUAAGUUGUUUCAGUUCCUUUUAUGUUUAUGCAUUGAAAAUAAAUCUAGUAUUAUGCUAAAAUCAUGUUUCAAUUUUUUGAAUACGGUUGAACCAAUUGGAAAUUGCAUUGAAAAUUCAUGUGGCAUUAAUGUUAAAUGUGAUUUCAUGGCAAUUUUUAAUGAUGAUCACCUUUUAGCAUCAUUUUAAUGUGAAAAUUCAUCUUGUAAAAUGAUAUAUUCACCAUUAUUACUCACUCACUAAAUUUUCCAAAAAAUAUUAUUUGAAAAAUUUAGUUUAGUGUGUUCUUUAUGUUGAUGUCAUCAUUAUCAACAAGCACAUGCCACCUAAGGAAAUGUUGAUUUUCGUGUGGUUUGGUUUUCCACACCCCACCAUGCGGCACAAUAUGUUUGGCCGGCAUGCCUAACGGGCAAAAUUAAUGUUUUCAGAUGGUGCAUUUUAUCUUAUUGAAUGCACUGUACAACUAGAAUGGCAUUGAUGAAAUUAUGGUUGAUUCUCUAAACUAGCUCGCUCCAGAAUAAGUAUAAUUGAGCAUGCUCAAAAUAAGUGCCUCAACUUUAUUAUAACUUUGUACUAACGUUAGUACAAAGUAUAGACACUUAUUUUAGGACGGAGGGAGUAUAAACUAGCUACAGUUGGUAAGUUCUUUGUCAAGUGAUUAGAGAUAAGGUUAUGAGGCGAAUAUUCUUUUCCCUGGUUAAAAUUUCAUCAAAAAGGGAGCUGACCUCGACACAAGAAGCCGGUCCAUAAAAGUUAGUCUCGAAUGUAAGCAGUCCAAUACUGAACAAACACUUGUUUCAAAAAUGGCGCGACAAGUCGCGCAACCGCUUCUAGUAAGUACACUACCCUUCAACUGUCCAAAAAUUUCAACCAGACUGUAGCCAAUCUGUUGAAAAUGGAACACAAAAUUUGACGACGAAAUCCACGUGACUUUUACAACCCCUGCGACCUUUUUGUGUUCCAUCCAAACUCAAACAUGUGAGAGAAAAACAAGAAGCAAGCAAAAGAUGCUCCGCAAUUGCUUACCGAAAGUUGUUAUACAACUAUUGCAGCAGAUAAAAAAUCUCUUAAUUUUAUUAAACAAAGGUCAGCUGAUGUACAAAGCAUGCCAACAAUGUAAUCUGCAGAAACUAGUAUUCUUAUAGUGUUAUAUGGGAUCAAACCUGAAUUUUGUUCACAUGUUAUUCGGAAGAUUUACGACAUGUGCUAAACCAAAUAUACUCCGGGUGCGCAGCAAAAUGCAGCAAGUCGCCUGCAUUUUCAUUUUCUGAGUAAACAUGGGUGCAUUAGCAUCGCCAUAUUCAAAAUGAUAGGUGCUAAUGAAAAUGACUGAAACUUAUAGGCCGAGUGUCCGGGCACAUCAGCAUCACCAUGUUCAGAAUUCAACCUUUGUGAAAACACAAAUUCAUUUUCUGCUGAUGGACUCAAACUUUCAGCAGAGUUUCAUCCAAGACACCACAUCUGUGCCAACACCAGAUGCUUCAUCUAAGACUAAGAGAAAUGCAGGUGGCAACGUUGAAGUAGUGUCCAUUGUCGAACACAUUACAGACUAAUGUCACUGCACCACUGAUCAAACAGUUUCGGAAUAUUAGAACCGUGAUGCCAACGCAAAUAGGUUUCUUAUUAUAUUGUCUGGAGAACAAACCAAGUUUAGCUAGUAGAAACACAACAACUGCUUGGUUUUCUUGAACCCAUAUCUCAGUGGAAGGAACUGGGUUCUAAUGUGCCGCAGUCAUACCCAAAAUAUACAAUACUUGUGCCCUGUUUUAGGGCAACCCAAAACAAAAUUCAGCAACUUUUGGUUUUUGGGCAACUGUUUUGGCCGAAGAGGGACUUCAUCAAAUUCAUACUGACACAGAUUUUGUUAGAUCUGGUAUAGGAGGCACUGCGGUGGCUGUAUGCAUGGACUCUUCUGGGAAUUACUUGCGAUCAUGUACGCUAGUAAUUCAUGGCAUGAGAGAAGUUUCAACUCUAGAGGUAUCGCUUGCAGGGAAGCUCUAUCUUUGGCGGAUGAUCUUCUACUUCACAAUUUUCUAGUGGCUACUGAUUCUAAGCAGGUGGCUAAUGAUAUCAACAUGGGCUGCACUGGUAUUCAUGGUCUGAUUGUAGCUGAGAUUAAGUUAAGGACAACCAAAUUUAAUUGUAGUUUUUGUUUCUGAGAGUCAGGCCUUGAAUAGAGAAGCCCAUUUACUAGCCAAGCUUUUUGAUUCUUUAGAUUGUGGUAGACAUGUCUGGUUGGGACAGCCUCAUGAUCACAUUUAUUUUCCCAGUUUUGUGAACUAUGAAUAACAAACUUUGGUGGUUCUUAAAAAAUGAAGUUGCUGGAGCCGUUUUUUGCCCUCCAAGUAGUCAAAAAGCGACUGAGAUGCUCUGACUGAGCACGAACAACACUAUGUACAGAUACCAGAACCAGUGUACCCCAAAUGGCUAGGAUUGUCAGGUAAUAGUACUGAAACAUGUUAACCAGAAACAUGUAAAGAUACCCUAAACAGUUCAACAGUGUCCACGUACAACUCACUCUAGACUGUUGACCGGGUCUUGGCCCAUUCCUCAGACACAACUUUUUGACAAACUUUAUUCAAGCCCUACAAUAAGCCUGGUACGCAGAGUCGACCAAGUCACCUUCACUGAGAUCAACCCAAAAUCAGUCUUUAUCUCUCGAGUAUCAAGUCCAUGCGUGUCUGCCUGGAAGGAACAACAUCGUUCCGCUGAACCAGAUGGCCCCGAGGCCGCCUUGAACUUCAAAACCAGAGUGGAACCAUCCACUACAGCAACCACAGACCUCUUUAAAUGACGUGACUCGCCAACUGUACCAUUGAAGAGCCGAAUUCCUUCGUUAUAACCACNNNNNNNNNNGAUAAAACAGCGCAAGCGCAGAUGAAAACUGCUCUGCACUUCUGACACGGCAACUUCAAUAUUCGCCAUGACUGCGUCAUCAACACGUGCUAUGGUUAAGUCAACCGCACCACAGUCGCCUUGGAUGCGAUUUUUCAAUGCACGAUUCCAUGGGCCCAGGUCGUCUAUGUCUGUUACACCAUCAAUCAGCUGGUAAUCAUCCCUUUCUUCCUCACCUACCUUGAUCCUCAUGUCAUAUUCCACUAGAAUACUGGAAAUC
rnacentral:lncRNA from 1 species